UUUUUUUUCAGGUUGCAUGAAGGUAUUACCCGUCUUUUGGUUUCAUUUAUUUUCUAUGUUUCCAUAACUUUUGUUUGAUUUUGUUAUGCUCUAGGGCAUCUCUAAGAGAGACCUGUAAAACACCGGUACAUGUUCGGUCGAACACAUUUGUUUACUUUUGUAAUCCAACGGGAUUUAUAUCAAUCCAUAAAGCUGUCCAGACGUCCAAAUUUUGGUAUUUUGGAGACAAAUAUGGGGGAGCUUUGCCGGAGUCCGGACAUGCAAUUGACCAAUCACAUGCAUGGUCGCUCUCUUCUCUCUCUCCUCCCAUCCGCACAUGCAUGGCCCUCCUCUUUUCUCUUCUCACAAGCCACAGAUAUUCCACCACAUGCAUGGUCUCCACCUACUUUUUCUCCUCACAAUUGAAUAUUUUGCAAUUAAUGUUGGAUUGCUCUUUCCCGUAUCAUGUCCGUAGAUCACGUUUGGACAUAAAAACCGGACAUAUACCGGAUAAAUUUAUAGGUCGGCAUUGGUGAUGCCCUUAUUCCUUUCAUGUUUGUCUUUUUUUUUCUCUUUUUAGUUUUUUAUUUCAUUAUUCACAUGUUAAAUCAUGAAUAUUCAUUAAUAGUUGUAAACAUUUUUAAAAACUAUGGACAUUUUUUAGAAUCCAUGAACCAUUUUAAAAUUCAUGAAUAUUUAAAGUUCACAAAUAUUUUUAAGCAUGCGAAUUUUUUUAAUUUGUGAUCUUUUUUGAAUUUGUGAGCAUUGUUUCAAAUUCAAGAUUUUUUAAAUUUUGUGAUUUUUUUCUGAACCUUUUUGUUUUUUUAAUCCGCAACAUUUUGUAAUCUAAGAUUUUUUUUAGAAUACAUGAAUUUCUUUGAUUAAAUGAACUUCUUCAAAUAAAAUAUGACAUCUGUUUCUUUUCUAGGCUAGAAGUGGAGCGAUUGAAAAAAAAGCUAAAUGAUCGGAGCAGGGAGCCAAGCUGAGCAAGUGAGAGAUUCAUCUGCUGGUUCAUGUUAGUGUUACAACAACAAUUUGAUGGUUUCAACCUGGAAUAAGAACUCCCAAGGGCCUCACACAACCACCGGCUAACACCGACGUCAAAGCGUGUAAGGGCUCCACAGCCAUGCAUGUAACAACUCUGUUCUCUUCUCAGAACAAAUAUCUUCUCCAAUAUUAGGCCAACACGAAUAUACAAAUGAAAAAGCACCGCCAGGACAUAAUUAAAAGCCAAGCCAACGUAAAAUAAAACCAAAGAAAAAACGACCGUAAUAACCUAUUAGAGGAAAAAAAGUUUAAUCCCACAAGUGAAGAACUACGCAGCGAAGUGCUCGUUAGCCUCUAGUUACUUCUAUUCGAAACAAGAUACUUCACACAACUUGACUGAUAGUCCAAGAGUAACUUUGAAGAUUGUGUUAAUAUCUACUUAAGCAAAUUUGCAUUACUUUUUUUUUGCGGGGAGCAAGUUUGCAUUACUGCCUUUUCUUUGUUCAUAUAUAGAAAAUUCUCUUUUGUUUCGUCUAAACAACACAACAUACAAUAAACUUGAAAUUGCAUAUCAGCAACAUAUUUGCAUCACUGCCUUUUCUUCGUUCUCUUUAUGUAUUGCUUUUAUAGCUUGCAAAGACACUAGUUGCGUUAAUGAAAUUGGAGAGACAACUCUCUUUUUAAAAAGAAAAAAAACACAUUUGUACUACAAUAUGUUGAUUUGUUUUUUGUGCACCAUAAAUACUUAACAGAGCUUAUUCUAUGAAGCGAAGAUAGUAAGCUAGCACUGAUCUCAACAAAACUAAAAGCCGGAUGGAGGGUGCAUAUGCAUGGGUGUUCAGAUAAAUCCCCUAUCAAGUCGAGAUUAUACUAGGUAGUAGUUGUACGGGUUCAUCAGUUCAGUUUCCAAUUGAACACGCUCACAACUAGUGCUCCUACUCAAGUAUACUCAUUUCGAAAAGUGAGAAAACUUUCUAGCUCUCAUUAACAGCCAGGUGUGAAGGAACUUUUGCUCGACCAAGGUGGUCUUUAGGGCGCUAAUCCCAGCAUUAGUAAUGCGUAAUCACAGCCUGUUGAUUGUUGGAACACGAACUACGGUGCAUGUUCUCACCAUUGAUGACAGUACAAAAGAAAGAAGACGAGUAGCACAUCAUCGUUAGCUGUGUCGUAGAACUUUUGGGAGACAACAUCCUCACCAACAACUUUAUAGUAACCGGGCGCUGCACCCCCAUGCAUUGUUCCUUCCCCCAUUGUACUACACGACCCUCUAGCUAGAUCUCCGGCCUCUUCUCUUCUAUUUCUUCUCGUCGUCACACCUACUGGUGCAUAUUGCAAUGCCGGGGUUAAGCUCUCCUCUGGCCCCCAUGAGGCUCGCUGCAACUUCCAGUGUUCUUGUCACCCUCUUCUUCAUUGCUCUCUUCCUUGGCUCAUGCGAGGCUCGACGCCUUCUUGUCCAUGGCGCCACGGGCAGUUCAAGCGAGUCACCUCCUGCGCCGCGCAAGGUACGUUGGUAGCUUUACCUAGCCAUGCAUUGAAGCAACUUAAUUUCCUUGUAUCUAAAAGAGUGUCUUUAUCGAUCUCAUUGGUUGUUCUACUUGAGUUGUACUAACUCACAGUCCUUAAACUUGAAGGCUGAUGGUUCUCCGAUAAACCAGCCGAACGAUCUAUCAACUGCGGACGCUAAGGAUGCUUGCGUUGAUCAUUUCGACGCCAAGGUGAAGGAGGGAGUGGCGGUACCAUCAGGCGCAGCUCGGAUGGCGGUUAUCGGUAGGGUUUCACGGCGGCUUUCUCAUAGGAAUUUGCAAGUGGUGGGCACAGCGUUUCAUCUAGAUUAUGCUGGGCCUGAGACCCAUCCCCCCACUCACAACUGAUGCAUGAGUUUGGGAUGUUUGCUCUCUAUGUAUAUGAGUACGUAGUGUUCGAUCGAGCCCUAUUUCUGUGUCUGCAACCGAUCUUUCUAGCUUCAGCCUACUCGGCUACUGCCGGAGUGAGUACACUAGCAAGCUAGCUAGAAUAUUUUCUUGUUGAAAGAGUGUAACAGAUCACACAGUAUACAUAUGCUUUGUUGUGUUGAGAGUUCUGGCUAAUAUAGUUUUUCUGUGCACCCUGCCACCAUUAUUCCCUAUCUCUGGCAGUCAACUUCGCCGUUACCUCCUAACAACAGCUCACCGCGUCUUCCCCUGCCAUGUCACCCGCUCACACUCUCUAGUCUGUACUCAACAUGCGCCCGCUGCUGUCAAUAGCACUGCCAACCCGCGCCACCCUACUUGAACUGCCACCACUGUUGGCCGUCACCGCCCCUAGCAAUCUCUCUAGCUAGGAUUGAGAGAGCAUUGGUGAACCUUCCAAACCUAGCCCUAAUUUGACUAUUUUGUCACCUCAUCGUGCUCCGAGUACUCCAUCUUCACGGCCGGGGGAAAAACAGUAGGGAGGAGCAACGAGAAGAAGGCAGUUAACAGUGAGGUGGCGAUAGGGACGAAGAUAAAAAUUGUACAAAAAAAUCGCCUAUCAGAAAUGAAUUUUUGAUCCAUUAUAAAUUAGCAUAUGUGUAUAGUAACAUCAUGAUCACUGACAACUCGCUCCAUUCUCAAUUGUAAUGCGUGUGCCUAAGAAUCUCCUAAAACAAAACGAAAAGGGCGUAUAAUACAUUGGGAAUGGAGAAGUACUGCUACUUAUAGAUAUAGGACAGGAAAAAUAUCUCAAACAUCAGGCAAACGAAGAAAAAGGUAAAACACUCCAUUUUGGAAAAAAAAAAGCAAAGAAAGAAAAAACACCAACAAGUUUCACAUGCAUGACUUAUUAUUUGAAAUGGAGUGAGUUAAAAUUAAUAACUGGACAGCGAAGGACUAUGGAUGCCUGUCCCUUGACUUAUCUUAAUCCAUGUCUGUCAUGAUACUUGAGAUGUAAAUUCUUCAGCAAGUUGGAUAUGUUUGAGCAGCAGUAAUACCCCUGUCUGUAUGCAACGCAAACCUCUGCAAAAGAUCUUGGGUCAUUGAUCCUGACAAUCCAGGACAGAAACUUGCUUCAAGCAAGACAGCAGUGCAUCGCACGCCGAACAGCAUGUUCCAUGCUGUAGCGCUUCCGACCACGCGUUCCGUCAGUCCCGCUGCGUCCGUGCAGCAGGAAUAAAAUAGUCCCGCUUCAAAUCUCUCGAGAAAACUUACACGAGCAAGCAGUCUCGGUCAAUUCCCUGAGCACCGUUGACCUUAGAGGAUCGGAGAAGUGAACUUCGAUCGGUAACCGUGUGUCUAAAGAAAGUUGCAAGCCCGAUCGAGGAGCGCAAACCAUGUGCGCAGGGACUUGGGGGCACAAACUGAAAAAAGUAAUGCAUGUCCUGAUGUCUGAUUGUGAAAAAUAUCUCAAUCUUCCCAAGAAUGUCCCCCUCCUCCUCUCAUGUAGCCCGAAAUGUUUAACCAGCAUGCGACUAGACAAAUUAAAAUAGUGCGAAUAUCAUAGCAGGACAAACUGGGACGCACAGCCCUGCUCCAGAAAAGACAGACAUGCCAACCUCGUAUCCAUGCAAAUAACAAACUGAUGUAAAUUUUUUUGGCAAAAGGUGCACCUUCCUCAUCCCAGGCGGCACCUAGGUCUGGGUUCCACCUACAAGUAUAGUGUAAAACCACCAUAACUGAAGAUAGGGUUUUGGAAAACCAUCACAUUUCCAUUUCAUCACCAAUACCAUCCACAUUAUGCUAAAAAAAAGGAGCUCUCGCUCUCGCUCUCGCAUGCCUCUCGCUCUCGCGACGCUGCACCUCCUCCUCGCCAUAGCCGCCACUGCCACAGAUCUAGGCCCGCGGCAUGCCUCCACGCCAGCGAGGGGUGCUAGCGCUGGCUGCACCCAUGCCUCCCCCACCCCAGCAGCUUGUGCCCGCCAUACGCGAGAGAUUCCCAGAGAUCCUGCGGCUGAUCUCUCCAGUCCCACAGGCGGUGCUCAUGGCGACCAGGGCCAGGGGGUGGACGGAGCGCGCGACCAGGACCCGGGACGCCACCUUCGAGUGGAUUCGGUGCGUGCAUGAGUGGAAGGCGGCGGACCGGGCGGUUGCGGCGGCAACCGAGCCGGAGGCGAGAUCUGCGGCCACGAAGGUCGCUGAGAUUCACCGAAGGAGGGCGGAUGUGGAGCAGAGGAAGCUGGCGCGGCGAAUCUACGAGGAGGCCACGCUGGAGGAGAGGGCAAGGAUGCCCCCGUUACCGUCCUCCCCGCCGGCCGAAUUCGUGGUUUGGGCGAGGGCGGAAGCAAAAUCGGAAGAGCCACGGCGGGUACUCAACUGGGAAUGCAUCCUUGGCGUGAUUCCACCGAGCGCAUGAGGAGUGUUGCGGGUGAGGCGACAUACCCACUGCCUCGCCGCGACAUGCUUGAGCCACCGUGGUUUGGAGACCGCGGUGAGGUUCCACCGGGCGCUCGUUCGAGGUUUCUUGAGGGGAUUUGUAUCCCAAGGAAUCAGAUUUGUCUUAUGAUCUCGUAGUCGCCGAUGGUGUUGAAACCAGUGGAAAUUAGGCAGAGCUUGUGCUCGGAGAAUCGGGAUUCGCCGUCGGCGGCGAGGUCCAAAUCGCCGGAGUUGGGGGGUUUUUCUCCUGUGAUGCGAGUGGGGUCACCCAGGCGGAUUGGCGUGGGCCCCGUUGCCACGUCGCUCCCACCAAUCAGGUGCGAGAGGGUGAAAACGCCUUUGGCGAAUACGCCUCCUGCUCACGAUGGCGCGGAUGAGACUAUUUCUAGGGUUUUUGGACAGCUCUGGUCCAUUCCAUCCCCCCACUGUCGCCAGCCCCGUCCUCUUCCACCAAGCAAAACCACCACCACUCUAGGAUGGCUCCGGAAAGAUCUGGCUCACUCCGGGUGUUUUUCUCCGUUUGAUUUAUUCCCAGACAAGCAUCUCCACCCGUUUGAUCCUCCUCCUACACAACUCAAGAUCAUCAGGGAGGGAAUUGGGGACGGAUCCAAGUCCUUUGCUCAGGCUGUCAUGGCGGACAAGAGUGCACCGACUGGGGGGCUGAAACAGCGGGCACCGGCUCUGCAGAAGAACCCGGAUUGUCGUCAAGCCGCCGGGGGGGGGGGCAUGAACUGCUACCGCGCCCGGCAAAGGUGCUGCCCCCUUGCUCAAGCAGUCAUGGCAGCGCCCCCGCUGCCGGUCCCGCCUACCCCACCGGUGCAAGGAUAUGGUCUGCUUUACCUGUCGAGGCCCUGGUCACUACGUUGGUAAUUGCAUUCAGAAGGAAAACUGCUUCAUCUGUGGAUUGGAGGGGCACAAUGUCAACAAUUGCGCGGCUUGGGCGCAACCUCAUCCAGUUGCCACGUUCUUUGGUAGUUCUGCUUUGGGACUGGGAUUCUAUCACAUUGACGCUCUUGUGGGUCGUGAAGAAAAUUGGCUUAAUUUUAGAAACUGUGGAGAAGUGUGGGUCAUGAAAGGAGAAAUCAACAAGUCUGACCUGGUUAAGAAUCUGUCUGGUAUAUUCUGCAAAAACAAACAAUGGACAUGCCAGAUCAGGCCAUUGAUAGAACAAAAGUUCCUGGUCAGAUUCCCACCCUGGAAAGAUGUGGAAGAGUUGAUUGAGUUUCCUGCCUUCGACUUGCCUAUUGAUGGACUAUCUGUGCCAGUUGAGAAAAGGACCGGUGCAAUUGACCCAUUCAGCGAGCUUACUAAAGCCUGGGUUAUUAUUGAGGGGCUUUCAUCUAAAUGGUGCACAUGGAAGGUCCUAUCAUAGAUUGCAUCUUGCUUUGGAAUCCUUGUGGAUGUGGAUUGGAAUGGCCUAAUGAAGAGUUUUUAUGAGAAAGUAAGAGUCAAGAUUGCUUGCUGGGACCCAGCUAAGAUCCCCUUUGAACGGGUCAUGGAGAUGAGGAAAAAACUUUAUAUUUGUCCUUUACAGUGGAAGGUUUUGAUCAGAUAGGGGCUGAUGAUCCUAAUGAUGACAAUGGGCCUACUGACAUAUCUGUGGACGAUGAUAACAAAGCAAUUGAAGAUGAGGAGCUGGUCAAGGACAUCCUAGAUCAUGCAGAGGAACCCAUUGACGAUCUGGACCUGGCCAACAAGGCUUCCAACUCGAAAACCCUAGCUGGGAAAAAAAGCAAAUGAUGAUGGUGUUGCCUUCCAUCCCGAUGCUCUGUUAGAGGCAUGCAUCUCUCCUGUGAGAGCUGACAAGAAGACUAAAGGAAAAACCAAGACACAGAGCAUGUGCUCUUCUAUACCCUUCUCUGAGGCGAUCAGGAUCCUUAGCACUCCCAGCAACAAAACUUGUGAUGUCAAUGCACUCGCUACAUCAUCGAAUGGGGUUGCUGCUGUCAUUUCCCCAGUGUCCACUCAAAAAGCCUACUGCUCAGACCUGCUGGAAGAGCUGGAAGAUUCUGCAUCUGAUACUGCUAGUGAAGCUACUGAAUUAGAGGAGGAAAUGGAUACAUUUGAAGCCCCGAUAGUCAGUGGUCUGAAGAUGAUGGGACUAAUGGAGAAAAUGGUUCUGCCCAAUGAAAAGCCAACAACCAAGAACAAGUGGGGCCCAGUUAUUGCUCCAAGACUAAGUUCCAGGGUGCACAGCAGACAGAACAUCAUGGAGAAAGCUGCUGCGUACAAAAUGAAGCAAAAUCUGGAAAUCCCCUCUACCUUUAAAAGUAAGUCUUUUACGACCGAGUCUGCAUCUAUUUUAGAGGCUUAUGCUUCUGUAGUUAACAUCAAGAUUGGUGAUAAUGGAAAAGAGAAAAACCAAAUUAUUAAUGAUAUCAUUAGAUAUGAGACUGGAAAAUGCCUUUUAUUUGCUUCUCAAAACCCUGAGAUAUCUCUGCCUGACAAUCUAGAUACUGAAAUUAAUGUAGAUAUUGGAGUUUAUACUCCAAAAAAUGACAUUCCUUGCACCAACACACCAGGGGGCACUGUUGGUGUUGUAGGUGGCUCUGGGAAUGCUGUGAGAGGUGGAAUUUUUAGUCUGACACAUCCCUUUAAAAUCCCAUGAUUGGUAUCUUUUGGAAUAUUAGAGGUCUAGGCCAAAAAGGGAAAUUGCAGUGCCUGUCUGAUUUAGUGAACAAGUAUAAGCCUGAUUUUUUAGGUUUUCAAGAAAUUAAGAGAGAAACUUUGUCUGACUCUUUCCUCAAUAUCCUAGCUGGUUCUACUUCUUAUGAGUGGCACAUACUACCUGAAGUAGGCUCUGCUGGGGGUAUCCUUGUGGGUACCAAAUCCAACCUUUUUGAGGUUCUUGAUGUUAGUAUAAAGAAUUAUUGCAUUAUUAUAUCAUUAAAAAAUAAGACUGAUGGCUUCUGCUGGCAUUUGAUUGUGGUAUAUGGGACAGCUUAUGCUGUAGACAAACUUGACUUUAUUGCUGAAUUGCAUGAAAGUAUGGAAGGCUUAUGCUAUCAUGUGUUCUGUUUGGGGGAACUUCAACCUGAUUAGGGAGGCUAAGGAGAAAACCUCUGGCAAUAUUAAUACCUCAUGGGCAUUCUUGUUCAAUGAUUGGAUAAACAAAUGGGGCUUAAUGGAAUAUAAGCUAUCAAACAGGGUUUUUACCUGGAGUAACAAUCAGGACAACCCCAUCUUUGCCACUAUUGAUAGAGUUUUCUCUGCCACUAGUUGGUACAGUCACUUCCCUCUCACCACAUUGUGUGCACUGCCUAGAGUGGGAAGUGAUCAUACCCCAAUUUUACUUGACUCUGGGGUGGGUAUGUGUAAUCCAACCAGACCAUUCAAAUUUGAGAAGUGGUGGCUAGAGCAAUCGGAUUUUCAAGCCUUAGUAGAAAAAAAUCUGGGCCACACCUUCACCAUUUACAAAUGCUAUUGGGACCUAGAAAUUUAAAACCAAAUUAUUUAGGAAACUUGUUAAGGGAUGGAGUAUAAACCUUGAAGCUGCCAUGAAGAAAAAAAAGAAGGAUUUACUUUAGGAAUUCGAUAUCCUGGAUGUCUUUUCUAAGCAAAACAGAACUAAUGUUGGGGAUAUCCUCAGGAUGAAACAAAUUAGGGAGGAGCUUGGUGAGAUUUGGAAAAAAGAAGAAACUGCCAUGUGGCAGAGAUCUGGAGAUAGGAAAAUCAAAGAGGGGGAUAGAACACAACAUAUUUUCAUGCUGUUGCCAACCAACGAAGGAGGAAAAACCAACUGUCUAUCUUGGAGGGUCCAGAUGGACAUGUAUACACCACUAAAGACAUGCUAUAAGUUGCUACUAACUUUUAUAAAAACCUCUUUGGAUAUGAACCCAGACCCAAUAUUCAUCUAGAUGACCAGUUUUGGUCUAAGGAAGAGCUUGUGACAGAAGCAGAAAAUGCCCUCUUGAGAGGCCUCUUUCGGAAGAGGAAAUUAAAGAAGCUGUUAUGAGAUCCUAUGCUAAUGGGGCCCCUGGCCCUGAUGGCCUCUCAUUUUUUUUCUAUCAACACUUUUGGGAGGUUAUCAAAGGAGAUUUCAUGGCUUUGGUGAGGGAUUUUGAAAAUGGGUCUUUGGAUAUCCGGAGAUUAAAUUACUCUAUUGUCACUCUUAUUCCUAAAGAGCCAGAUGCAAAAAAUAUGAAGAAGUUCAGGCCCAUUUGUUUGAGCAACUGCUCUGUAAAAAUCUUUAGUAAGGCUAUGACAAAUAGGGUUUCCCCUGUGGGUCAUAGGCUUCUAUCACCAUGUCAAUCUGCUUUUGUGAGAGGUAGGUUUAUUUUAGAGAGUGUGGUUACUGCCCAUGAGGCUAUACAUGAAGUUCAUAAAUCGAGAGAGCCUGGGAUUGUGCUCAAGUUAGAUUAUGAGAAAGCCUACGAUCAUGUGAACUGGGAUUUCCUAGUAGAGAUGUUAACUUCUAGGGGUUUUGGAGCUAAGUGGAUUCGGUGGAACCUCACCAUUUUGCAACAAAGCUCUUUCUGUGUCAAGAUUAAUGAUGUUCUAGGCCCUUACUUUGUAGGGGGUAAAGGGCUCAAACAAGGAGACCCGAGCUCCCCAAUGCUUUUCAAUUUGGUAGCUGGUGUGUUCUCUCGUAUGCUGGUGAAAGUUGUUAACAAUAACAUCAUCUCUGGGAUUGUUCCUCAUAUCAUCCCACAGGGGCUGAUAUGUCCACAGUAUGCUGAUGACACAAUCCUUUUCCUAAAUCCUAAACCUGAAUAUGUUAAGAAUUUAAAAUGGCUACUAGCAUGCUUUGAAAACCUUUCUGGUUUGAAGAUUAACUAUGACAAGUGUGAGGUAGUUCCAAUAAAUAUGAAUGAAGAUGAUGCUAAGUUGUUAUCCCAAUUUUUUUUGCUGUAAAUUGGGGGAUUUCCCCCUUAAAUAUUUGGGGGUUCCACUACACUACCUCAAGCUGAGGAGGGAAGACAUUCAGUAUAUCAUAGACAAAAUUAUUAAGGGAAUUUGUGGUUGGAAAGGGAGAUUACUUAGCUAUGAGGCAAAAUUAGUUCUUCUGAAAGCCUGCAUUGCUAGUAUACCUAUGUAUCUGAUAAUUUCCUAAAUGGGAAAUUAAAGCCAUCACUUCUCAGAUGUCACAUUUCUUCUGGGGGAACCUGGGGGAUGAGCAUAAAUACCAUCUUGCUAACUAUGGUCUAAUUUCACGGAAAAAGGAUUUUGGUGGUUUGGGGGUACCCAAUUUAAGAGAAUUUAUCAUGGCUUUGCUAGCCUCUUGGGCUAAAAGAUACUUCAUGUACAGUGAUAAGAACUGGGUAAGACUGAUAGAGCAUAAGUAUAGAACCAACAACCCCAAUUUGUUGUGGUCCAAACAGGGGGUGGGAUCUCCUUUUUGGAAAGGAGUUACUUGGGAUUUUGAAGGUAUAAGACCUUUUUUUAGAUGGAACUUGGGCAAUGGCAAUAAGGUUAGCUUCUGGAAUGACACCUGGGUGGGGGAUUCUUCCCUGAAAACUCAAUUCUGGGAAGUUUAUGAAAUUUGUCAACAACAACAUUGCGUAGUUUCAUAGGUGUGGGAUGGUUUCAAUUUAAAACUUACCUUCAAUAGAUGUGUGGGGGCUGAGUUUAUGGAGAGUUGGCAUGACCUGAUCCGGGUCAUUUCUACCAAAAACCCGACUAAUGAGGAGGACCAACCUGUUUGGUUGUUAGAAUCAUGAGGGGUCUACUCGGUCAAGUCUUUUUACACCAUGAUUAACUGGGGUGGGGUUUCUACCCCUAUCUGGGAUUUUUUUGGAAGAUUGUUGUGCCUCACAGAUACCUAGUCUUUUUGUGGCUAGCUUUUAAGAACAAAAUUCUUACCAGAGAUAACUUAAAUAAAAGGAGGGUGGUAGAGAACCUAAAAUGUUUAUAUUGUGAUGAGGAAGAAUCAGUUUUCCACAUGUUCUUUGAAUGUGUAGUUGCUAGACAGAUUUGGAGUGAUGUGGCUGACUCUUUUGAGUUUAAUAUCCCUAAUAUAUGACUGAGUUAUCCUCCUUUUGGAGUAUGAAUAAUAAGAAAACUGUUGUCAAUAUUGCUUGUGUUGCUACCAUUUGGGGCAUUUGGACUAUGCGUAACGACAUAUGUUUUCAGGGCAUACCAUGGACAAGCACCUGUGCGAUCUUGGCAAGGAUCAGCACAUCGUUACAUCAAUGGAAGAUCCUCUACGGGGGCGAUCAAUCGGUGCUACUGAUAAGAUGCCUUCAACUUCUGGAUCGGUAAAGAGGCGAGUUGCUUAGGAUUUCCUGGGCUGGGGACUGAGAGCGUGCGCGAAGAAGACCCGGGGCGGAGCACUGAAGGCUCAUUCGGGGUGAAUGCACACAAGAUCUGUCGAUCUUUCUCUGUGAUUGUUCUAGCGUGGCUCGGGUGAUGACUAUGUUUCUUGCCUUGUAUGGUAGUAGACGCUUUUUCCCUUCGGUAGUUUUGAUAUAGGUUGGUGUGCGAGCAUUUAGGCCGUAGCUUUACUUUUCAUUUUCUCUGGUCUGCUACUUCGGGUAGACCCGAUUCCUUGUAACAGUUUGGAUGACAUGCGUUGUUCCGUUUUUAAUAAAAUGGGGCGGGGGGAAACCCCUUUUGAUCAAAAAAACAUUAUGCUAAAAAUCGCAAAAACCACCAGUAGCACACUUGGCUAAAUUUAAAAACAUUUCUGACGUUGCGACCACAUCUAGGCACUGUCGUGACAUGAAAUGUCAACUCAGCUUGUUCGACCGUUAAGUUGGACAUGGAGCCCACAUGUCAACAUCAACAUUCCUCUCUCAUACCCCCUCCCCCUCUCGUGUGUCAUUUUCUUGGACACUUUGCUCAUAUGACAUCCGCAAGAUGUCCAGCCCGCCGUGGAGCUUGUACCUCCUCGCCAAUGGAUGAAGCAUGACAUCUUCGCCCCUCGCUUGGUACCUGAUGGUACCCUGACAGUUCAUCAGCCUCAGCAUAUCAUCGCCCGACGAGACCUAACCCAGCCGUGGUAGCGACUGCGCCACGACGUCCUCAGGCAGCUACCACACCCACAUGCGUCAAAACAUGCCCACCGCUGUGUGGCACAACUCACCUACAAGACUAUUUACUCUGACGCACACUCUAGGAACCCCACAGCAGCGGUCACAACUCCCCGCGCAGUAAUCACGAGCGCGGGGUGGAGGUUGAAUCAUGCAAGGCACCGGUGUAGGUCGACCACCAUGCAGGUGGUUCUUCUCCUUUGUGGUAUCUCGUUUCCCUAGGUAGGCCACAAUGUACGACGACAGAGGCAAAGGAGGGUUGAUCUGCACUUUCUCGUCACCAUUGCAAGCAACCUUUUUUAUGAACAAAGACUGGAUUUUAUUAACUCAAAAUGAAAGCAUCAAGAGGAUACAAACGCAACGAGGACACACCCGACCUAUGCAUAACUAGGAUGCACAUAACCAACAGCAACGCACACACAAAGAAUCCCAUCGGCAAAUCACAAAGUCAUGCAGGACCAGCUAUGCCUUGGCGAAUUAAAAAUAAAAUCAAACUCCAAAGUGAUAAAAACUAUGAUCAACAACUACCUACAUCAAGGACCAUAUCCGCACCAACUAUCUAUUGACAUCACAAGUACGACGAGAAAGCUUCUCCAACAACAAUGGCUUCAGAAAGGGGACUACGCUCAAGCCUGGUUAAAGGAUUUGAUCCUGAAGAUCAAGUUAAAGUAUUUCCUUUUAACAAGGUGACGACACAAAAACACCAUCGUUGCAAGAUAUAGCCAAUUAGGGUUAUACCUCGGGUCAGCCCAGGGCUCAAGAAAGUUACUUGAGAAGUACCACCAAGUAGAAGUCAUCAUGUGUUAUUGCCACCACUUUCCUCGAUCCCAACAGCUAUAUGUGUAGCACGGUUUUGACGUGAGAUGCCACACAAAUGAAGACCAUACUCGCACAAGGUCCCUCCUGCCGCGACAAUUAGCUAGAGGCAUAGGACUAUGAUGUCACCUGAGGCCCGGUCAGAGAAUCUCCAUAUUAUGACACAACUGGAUGAUGCUGCCGCCCAUGUACCUCUCGAUGGGAUCGUGGCCAGUGACGUCUGAGCCCACUAUCCCAACCAGAUGAUCCAAUGCCGCCGCUGCACAACCAUGCUUUCUGCCUCAUGUGGCACACAACCUUUCUUUGGAUUCCUCGGGCAUGACGCAUACAUGAGUUCGCAUCGAGAUCAUGCCUCCUCAACACCUCCCCAAGGACGAUCCGGUACUACACCAGGGUUCACCACCUCCACGAGGAAUCGUGCGAGGCCCGCUUCAUCGUCCCGACUAGCACCUCGAGCCUCCUCCACGUCUUCCUCUCUAGCGACGAGAUCAUGUCAUCUGACUGUGACAUACUCUACCUCCAUGGGCCGAGCCCAAUGUGCGCGACCAGCAGCACAACGCGAUCGCUAGGAGCACAUGUGGGGGACGCCAAUGACGAGAGGCUGUGGCAGCGUCCACCGGAGUCGAGGAAGACGAUGUGAUUCUUCAGUAAUGGAGGCAGUGAGUGCGCCGUGAUAUACAUGGCUGAGAGUGACACACUGUUGAGCUUACUUGUGGAAUGCUCCCCUUUGUGUUGAUGGUGCAACAUGCUGGUCGCGUUAGCUAAUCUACAGGUGUCCAACUCGCUUGAAUCGAAGAGAUAAUGGGGACACAUGCUUUUUUUGUGGAGGAAGAGGGAGGGGCGCCGAUAUGGGAGGAGUAUGGAUCCUCAUGAUAUUUGUGGGGGAAGAGGUAGGAUGCGAUGGAGAGAGAUGGGGGGAGCCGCUCCUCACUAUUCGGUGUUGAUUCUGCGCGGCCAUGGGCGCCGGACAACGAGGUUGAGUCGUGCUACAUCCCAAAUGUAUCUAUAAUUUUUAUAUGUCGCAUGCCAUUGUAUUACCAUUGUUACAUACCUUAGGCAUAAUUUUUAUGAUUUUUAUUAUACUAAACUAUUAAUUAAGUGUCCAGUGCGAAUGCAAGUUCAUGUUUUAUGGUGUUUUUAUAUUUCAAGGAAACUAAUUAUUUUAACCCCAGGAAAAAAUAUAGAAAACUUGGAUUGUGGAAUUUUGCCCCAGAAGACACUGAGGGGCUCUAGGCACCACAUCUGGAAAAGCCUAGGGUGCAUAGGAGCCCCAUGUAGGCGCCCAAAAUGCCAGGGCGCCAAGGCAUUCUAGGAACCUUCUAGAGCCCUCCUUUGGAAGCAAGCUUUCCCUCGAAGUUGUGGAACCACCAUUAAAAAAUUCAGAUUUAUGGAUAUCCUGGAAAUUACAAAGCGGUGAUGGGACUCAGAGUUUAGCGUGCAGCUACAACUCCCCUAGAAAGUAAGACCCCAUCUGAGGGGCGGCUCUCAUCCUCCAGAACUCUGGCCACCAAAAACCAGAAGCUAAACCCUUCUCUCUCUUAGGGGGAGGCUAAGGAAGAAGGAGAAGGAGGGCAGCUCUCUUCCUUCUCUUUCGGUGGCAUUGGAGCGCCACCGGGGGAACCAUCAGCACCACCACCAUCUCCAAAAACACCUUGCUACCUCUUGAGCACUGCGUCGGUUUUCCCUUGAAGAGGAAAGGGUGAUGCAGUAAAGCAGCGUAAGUAUUUCCCUCAGUUUUUUAGAACCAAGGUAUCAAUCCAGUAGGAGGCCACGCGCGAGUCCCUCGCACCUACACAAACAAAUAAAUCCUCGCAACCAACGCAAUAAGGGGUUGUCAAUCCCUACACGGUCACUUACGAGAGUGAGAUCUGAUAGAUAUGAUAACAUAAUAUUUUUGGUAUUUUUAUGAUAAAGAUGCAAAGUAAAAUAGAAAGCAAUAAAAAUAACUAAGUAUUGGAAGAUUGAUAUAAUGGAGAAUAGACCCGGGGGCCAUAGGUUUCACUAGUGGCUUCUCUCGAAAGCAUAAGUAUUCACGAUGGGUAAACAAAUUACUGUCGAGCAAUUGACAGAAUUGAGCAUAGUUAUGAGAAUAUCUAGGUAUGAUCAUGUAUAUAGGCAUCACGUCCGAGACAAGUAGACUGACUCCUGCCUGCAUCUACUACUAUUACUCCACACAUCGACCGCUAUCCAGCAUGAAUCUAGAGUAUUAAGUUCAAGAGGACAGAGUAACGCUUUAAGCAAGAUGACAUGAUGUAGAGGGAUAAACUCAUGCAAUAUGAUGAAAACCCCAUCUUGUUAUCCUUGAUGGAAACAAUACAAUACGUGCCUUGCUGUCCCUACUGUCACCGGGAAAGGACGCCGCAAGAUUGAACCCAAAGUGAAGCACUUCUCCCAUUGCAAGAAAGAUCAAUCUAGUAGGCCAAACCAAACUGAUAAUUCGAAGAGACUUGCAAAGAUAACCAAUCAUACAUAAAAGAAUUCAGAGAAGAUUCAAAUAUUCUUCAUAGAUAAACUUGAUUGUAAACCCACAAUUCAUUGGUCUCAACAAACACACCGCAAAAGAAGAUUACAUCGAAUAGAUCUCCACGAGAGAGGGGGAGAACAUUGUAUUGAGAUCCAAAAAGAGAGAAGAAUUCAUCUAGCUAAUAACUAUGGACCCGUAGGUCUGAAGUAAACUACUCACACUUCAUCGGAGGGGCUAUGGUGUUGACGUAGAAGCCCUCCGUGAUCGAUGCUCUCUCCGACGGAGCUCCGGAACAGGCCCCAAGAUGGGAUCUCGUGGAUACAGAAAGUUACGGCGGUGGAAUUAGGGUUUUGGCUCCGUAUCUGGUAGUUUGGGGGUACGUAGGUAUAUAUAGGAGGAAGGAGUACAUCGUUGGAGCNNNNNNNNNNNNNNNNNNNNNNNNNNNNNNNNNNNNNNNNNNNNNNNNNNNNNNNNNNNNNNNNNNNNNNNNNNNNNNNNNNNNNNNNNNNNNNNNNNNNNNNNNNNNNNNNNNNNNNNNNNNNNNNNNNNNNNNNNNNNNNNNNNNNNNNNNNNNNNNNNNNNNNNNNNNNNNNNNNNNNNNNNNNNNNNNNNNNNNNNNNNNNNNNNNNNNNNNNNGGCUUCCCUGUUGGUUGCUUGACAUAGGGUCCAAGUCUCCUAGAUCAUGUUCGUUCCGAAAAUCACGUCCCCGAAGGUUUCAUUCCGUUUGGACUCCGUUUGAUAUUCUUUUCUUGCGAAACCCUAAAAUAGGCAAAAGACAACAAUUCUUGGCUGGGCCUCCGGUUAAUAGGUUAGUCCCAAAAAUAAUAUAAAAGUGUAUAAUAAAGCCCUAUAAUGUUUAAAACAUGAUAUAAUAUAGCAUGGAACAAUCAAAAAUUAUAGAUACAUUGGAGACGUAUCAAGCAUCCCCAAGCUUAAUUUCUGCUCGUCCUCGAGUAGGUAAAUGAUAAAAAUAGAAUUUUUUAUGUGGAAUGCUACUUGGCACAAUUUCAAUGUAAUUCUCUUAAUUGUGGUAUGAAUAUUGAGAUCCGAAAGAUUCAAGACAAAAGUUUAAUACUGACAUAGAAAUAAUAAUACUUCAAGCAUACUAACUAAGCAAUUGUGUCUUCUCAAAAUAACAUGGCCAAAGAAAGUUAUCCCUACAAAACCAUAUAGUCUGGCUAUGCUCCAUCUUCACCACACAAAGUAUUUAAAUCAUGCACAACCCUGAUGACAAGCCAAGCAAUUGUUUCAUACUUUUGGUGUUCUCAAACUUUUUCAAUCUUCACGCAAUACAUGAGCGUGAGCCAUGGACAUAUCACUAUAGGUGGAAUAGAAUGGUGUUUAUGGAGAAGACAAAAGGAAGGAGAAGAUGGUCUCACAUCAACUAGGCGUAUCAAUAGGCUAUGGAGAUGCCCAUCAAUAGAUAUCAAUGUGAGUGAGUAGGGAUUGCCAUGCAACGGAUGCACUAGAGCUAUAAGUGUAUGAAAGCUCAACAAAAUGAACUAAGUGGGUGUGCAUCCAACUCGCUUGCUCACGAAGACCUAGAGCAUUUUGAGGAAGCCCAUCAUUGGAAUAUACAAGCCAAGUUCUAUAAUGAAGAAUUCCCACUAGUAUAUGAAAGUGAUAACAUAGGAGACUCUCUAUCAUGAAGAUCAUGGUGCUACUUUGAAGCACAAGUGUGGUAAAAGGAUAGUAGCAUUGCCCCUUCUCUCUUUUUCUUUUUUUUAUUUGGGCCUUUUCUCUUCUUUUUUUAUGGCCUUUUUUUCGUCCGGAGUCUCAUCCCGACUUGUGGGGGAAUCAUAGUCUCCAUCAUCCUUUCCUCACUUGGGACAAUGCUCUAAAAAAUGAUGAUCAUCACACUUUUAUUUACUUACAACUCAACAAUUACAACUCAAUACUUAGAACAAAAUACGACUCUAUGUGAAUGCCUCUGGCGGUGUACUGGGAUAUGCAAUGAAUCAAGAGUGACAUGUAUGAAAGAAUUAUGAACGGUGGCUUUGCCACAAAUACAAUGUCAACUACACGAUCAUGUAAAGCAAUAUGACAAUGAUGGAGCGUGUCAUAGUAAAUGGAACGGUGGAAAGUUGCAUGGCAAUAUAUCCCGGAAUGGCUAUGGAAAUGCCAUGAUAGGUAGGUAUGGUGGCUGUUUUGAGGAAGGUACAUGGUGGGUGUAUGAUACCGGCGAAAGGUGUGCGGUAUUAGAGAGGCUAGCAAUGGUGGAAGGGUGAGAGUGCGUAUGAUCCAUGGACUCAACAUUAGUCAUAAAGAACUCAUAUACUUAUUUCAAAAAUUAGAAGUUAUCAAAGCAAAGUAUUACGCGCAUGCUCCUAGGGGGAUAUAUUGGUAGGAAAAUACCAUCGCUCGUCCCCGACCGCCACUCAUAAGGAAGACAAUCAAUAAAUAAAUCAUGCUCCGACUUCAUCACAUAACAGUUCGCCAUACGUGCAUGCUAUGAGAAUCACAAACUUUAACACAAGUAUUUCUCAAAUUCACAACUACUCAACUAGCACGACUCUAAUAUCACCAUCUCCAUAUCUCAAAACAAUUAUCAAGUUUCAACCUUCUCAUAGUAUUCAACACACUCAUAAGAAAAUUUUAUUAUUAAUCUUGAAUGCCUAAAAUAAUUAAAGCAAAUUACCACGCUGUUUUGUAGGACUCUCAAAAUAAUAUAAGUGAAGCAUGAGAGAACAAUGGUUUCUAAAAAACAAAUCUACCAACAUGCUCUAAAAAAUAUAAAUGAAGCACUAGAGCAAAAACUAUAUAACUCAAAAGAUAUAAGUGAAGCACAUAGAGUAUUUUAACAAUCUCUGAAUCAUGAGUGUCUCUCUCAAAAAGGUGUGUGAAGAAAGGAUGGUUGUGGAAAACUAACAAAUAAAGACUCAAAUAAUACAAGACACUCCAAGCAAAACACAUAUCAUGUGGUAAAUAAAAAUAUAGCUCCAAGUAAAGUUACCGAUAGAAGUAGACGAAAGAGGGGAUGCCUUCCGGGCCAUCCCCAAGCUUUGGCUUUUAGGUGUCCUUAGAUUAUCUUGGGGGUGACAUGGGCAUCCCCAAGCUUAUGCUCUUGCCACUCCUUGUUCCAUAAUCCAUCAAAUCUUUACCCAAAACUUGAAAACUUCACAACACAAAACUUAAAGUAGAAAAUCUCGUGAGCUCCGUUAGCGAAAGAAAAUAAAACACCACUUCAAGGUACUGUAAUGAAGUCAUUCUUUAUUUAUAUUGGUGUUAAACCUACUGUAUUCCAACUUCUAUAUGGUUUAUAAACUAUUUUACUAGCAAUAGAUUCAUCAAAAUAAGCAAACAACACAUGAAAAACAGAAUCUGUCAAAAACAGAACAGUCUGUAGUAAUCUGUAGCUAACGCAAGAUCUGGAACCCCAAAAAUUCCAAAAUAAAUUUUUGGACGUGAGGAAUUUAUCUAUUAAUCAUCUGCAAAAAUAAUUAACUAAAUAUCACUUUCCAAAUAAAAAUGAAAGCAGUUCUUGUGAGCGCUAAAGUUUCUGUUUUUACAGCAAGAUUAAAAAGACUUUCCCCAAGUCUUACCAACGGUUAUACUUGGAACAAACACUAAUUAAACACAAAAAACACAACCAAAACAAAGGCUAGAUAAAUUAUUUAUUACUAAACAGGAGCAAAAAUCAAGGAAUAAAAAUAAAAUUGGGUUGCCUCCCAACAAGCGCUAUCGUUUAACGCCCCUAGCUAGGCAUAAAAGUGAAGAUAGAUCUAGGUAUUGCCAUCUUUGGAAGGCAAUCCAUAAGUGGCUCUCAUAAUAGAUUCAUAAGGUAAUUUAAUUUUCUCUCUAGGGAAGUGUUCCAUGCCUUUCCUUACCAGAAAUUGGAAUCUAAUAUUUCCUUCCUUCAUAUCAAUAAUUGCACCAAUCGUUCUAAGGAAAGGUCUACCAAGAAUAAUAGGACAUGAAGGAUAAUAAAAUCCACGGGCACAUAAUUCCUAUUUGCAACAAUAAGAACAUCAUUAAUUCUUCCCAUAGGUUUCUUAAUAGUGGAAUCCACAAGAUGCAAGUUUAAAGAGCAAUCAUCAAAUUCACGGAAACCUAGCAAAUCACACAAAGUCUUAGGAAUCGUGGAAACACUAGCACCCAAAUCACACAAAGCAUAGAAUUCAUGAUCUUUAAUUUUAAUUUUAAUAGUUGGUUCCCACUCAUCAUAAAGUUUUCUAGGAAUAGAAACUUCCAACUCAAGUUUUUAUUCAUAAGAAUGCAUCAAAGCAUCAACAAUAUGUUUGGUAAAGGCUUUAUUUUGGCUAUAAGCAUCAGGAGAAUUUAGCACGGAUUGCAACAAGGAAAUACAAUCUAUCAAAGAGCAAUUAUCAUAAUUAAAUUCCUUGAAAUCCAAAAUAGUGGGUUCAUCUAUAUCUAGUGUUUUGACUUCUUCAAUCACACUUUUAACAAUUUUAGCAUCAAGAUCUAAAGAGUCCGAAUUUUUGGAACACCUUCUAGGUAAAGAUUGAUAUUUCAAAACAAAGAUUUAAUAGGGGACACAUCAAUAACUUUUAGAUCUUCAUCUUUAUUAUCAUGGAAACUAGAAGAACACGCUUUUAUAAAGUAAUCUUUCUUAGCACGCAUCCUAGCGGUUCUUUCUUUGCACUCAUCAAUGGAAAUUCUCAUGGAUUUGAGAGACUCAUUGAUAUCAUGCUUAGGUGGAAUAGAUCUAAGUUUCAAAGAAUCAACAUCAAGAGAAAUUCUAUCAACAUUCCUAGCCAACUCAUCAAUCUUAAGCAAUUUUUCUUCAAUCAAAGCAUUGAAAUUCUUUUGCAAAGUAAUAAAUUCUUUAAUAUUGGAUUCAAAAUCAGAGGGCAUCUUAUUAAAAUUUCCAUAAGAAUUGUUGUAGGAAUUACCAUAAUUAUUAGAGGAAUUACUAGGAUACGGCCUAGGAUUAAAGUUUCCUCUAUACGCGUUGUUACUAAAAUUAUUCCUACCAACAAAAUUCACAUCAAUAGAUUCAUUAUUAUUCUCAAUCAAAGUAGACAAAGGCAUAUCAUUAGGAUCAGAAGAAACACUUUUAUUAGCAAAUAAUUUCAUAAGUUCAUCCAUCUUUCCACUCAAAACAUUGAUUUCUUCUAUCGCAAGCACAUUCUUGUUAGUAGAUCUUUCAGUGUGCCAUUGAGAAUAAUUAACCAUAAUAUUAUCUAGGUGUGAUGCCCAGAUAGUUAAACUACAGUAAUUCCCUGCUAAUGAUGCCACGUCACCAUGAUUACCAUUAAUUAAACCCGCGUUGAUUCAAACGGGAUUCAAAUUCAAAUUUAAACUAAAGCCAAACACUAAAAGUUCUCAAUCAUUAAAACUAGAAUGUUCUAAAUGUGAAAAUAAAUGCAAAGGCUUAUUGGCAAAGGUAUCAACUACUUAGAAAAUAUUUAAAUGCCCUUACUUAAAUAAAACUACAGCUUAGACAAAUAAAUAAAUGCCUUUUCAAUUAUUAAAAUAUUAACUAAGUUAUUUAAUUGCCCAAAACUAUUGUGGCAGUGGCAUGUUUAUUAAAACUAAAUUAGGUACAACUUUGGUAUUUUACAAAACUAUAAUAAAUUAAAAAACUAAGAGAAAACAGAAAGUAAAAAGUAAAAAAAACAAAAUAAUACUAAGAAAAGGAGAACCCCCCCCCACACACACACAUUGGGUGGCUAUCCAUCCGGCCGGCCCAGCUGACCACCCUGCUGCCCACUGGCCUACUAAACCACCAACAGCCCCUCCGACACCACAACACCUCCCCCGAAAUAUCUCCUGGAUCGGAUCGGGAGAGGAGCUCCCGAUCCCGAUCCACCGGCGCCCUGCUCGCUGGUGAGCCGUCGCUGGAUCGCCGCCCCUCUCUGCCGGACUGCCUCCUCUUCGCCUCCACCCCAAUGGACUCCCUCGAGCCUCGCCGAGCCCUGUUCCCCUGCUCAAAUGUGACCACGCCGCCGCUCGAACCCUCCAUUUGCUCUCUCUCUCUCUCUCUCUCUCUCUCUCUACACGUCGCGCUCCGCCUCCCCCCGUCGCGGUCACCCCGCACCCACCGCCGCCGUUCGCGCACAUCCCCUCCUCCUCGCACGCGCUCACCCGCGCCCCUCCUCCGCCGGCCACGCCCGCCUAUGCGUGCUGCGUUCCCACGCGCGUGCGAGGCCGCGCCCCCGCUCACCCGCUGCUCCUAGCCGCCCGCUGGAUGUCGCCCCGCACACUGCUGGCUGUUGUUCCCAAUGCCGACGCCGUCGCCGCUGUCCCGCACCUGCUAUCGCUGCUACUUCACCACUGCUGCUGCUCACUGCUUCUUCUGCUACAUGCUGCUACCGGCCCCUGCUAGCGCUCCUGGCCGCCACACCAACCGCAUCGACUGCGCGCACGCGACGCUGCUCACGCCUCGCUCACCCCUUCUCCUACUGCUGUUGUUGCCCGCACCGGCCCCGUCCGCCCGCCGCCGCAGCCGCUGCACCCUCCCGGUGCCCGCGCCUUUGGGUUGGCUCCACCGCGCCACCCCUCUGACCGGCGCCCCCACCGCACCCCGGCAGCCGUGCCGCCGGUCUCGCCGAGGCCAGCGCUCGGGCUCGCCGCCCGUGGCUGUGCCCGAUCGGUCUCCCCGCUCCGCCCCAUUAACAGCCACGCCCGUUAGGCCCCCCUUGGCCUAUGACAGUGGGCCCGCCCCUAUAUAAAAGAAUAGAAAAAACAUAAUAAAAAUGUUAAUUAAAUUAUUUCAUUAACUAAUUAAUUAAUUAUUUUUUUGAGAAUCAAUUAAUUAAUUACUUAAUUAGCAAGCUUAGAUUAGCCUAAUCACUAGAUUAGUUGGAACCAAAAUUAAUUAGUCAAAACAGAGAAUGACAGGGGGCCCCACCCCCUUGUUGACCAGUCAAAGUUUGACUGGUCAACUGGGACCCCUGGACCCACAUGUCAGCCACAAGUACACUUCUGUGUACACUUGUGGGUGCACAUAGCAUUUUGACUUUUAUUUUCAAAUUAAAGUUAAUUUUAGAAAAUGAAUAAAACUUUGAAAAAUCAUAGAAAAUAAUUCGUAACUCAGAUGAAGAAACUUUGUACAUGAAAGUUGCUCAGAACAACGAGACGAAUCCGGCCACGCAACCCGUUCGUCCGCCACGCAUCCCUAGCAUAGCGAACACGCAACUUUCCCCCUCCGGUUCAUCUGUCCGAAAACACGAAACACUGGGGAUAUCUUUCGGAUGUUUCCCCCCUUCAUCGGUACCACCUCAUACCGCGUUAGGGCACCCCUACCACCGCUACUUGACAUGUCAUGCAUCGUCACGCAUAUGUUUGCUUAAUAUUUAUUGUUUCUUCCCCCUCUUCUCUCGCUAGACACUUAGACCGAUGCCGCUGCUACCCAGUACGACUAUGGUGUUGACGACCCCUCUCUCUUGCCAGAGCAACCAGGCAAGCCCCCCCUUUGAUCACCAGAUAUCGCCUACUCUUAUCUCUACUUCUUGCAUUAGAGUAGUGUAGCAUGUUACUACUUUCCGUUAAUCCUAUUCUGAUGCAUAGCCUGUCAUUGUUGCUACAACUAUUGAUACCUUACCUGCAAUCCUAAAUGCUUAGUAUAGGAUGCUAGUUUAUCAUCAGUGGCCCUACAUUCUUGUCUGUCUGCCAUGCUAUACUAUCAGGCCGUGAUCACUCGGGAGGUGAUCACGGGUAUAUAUAUACAUACUAUACAGGUGGUGACUAAAGUCGGGUCGGCUCGUUGAGUACCCGCAAGUGAUACUGAUGUGGGGGCUAAAGGGGCAGGUGGCUCCAUCCAGGUAGUGGUGGGCCUGGGUUCCCGACGGCCCCCGACUGUUACUUUGAGACGGAGCGACAGGGCAGGUUGAGACCACCUAGGAGAGAGGUGGGCCUGGCCCUGGUCGGCGUUCGCGGUUACUUCAAGAUAACACGUUUAACGAGAUCUUGGUAUUUGAUCUGAGUCUGGCCACUGGCCUAUAUGCACUAACCAACUACGCGGGGACAGUUAUGGGCACUCGAUGUCGUGGUAUCAGCCGAAGCCUUCGUGAUGUCAGCGACUGAGCGGCGCGUGCUGGAUUGGACAGGAACGCCUGCUAGGCUAGGUCUGCUUCCGGCCGCCCUCGCAACGUGCAGGUGUGCAAUGGGCGAUGGGCCCAGACCCCUGCGCCAUAGGAUUUAGACCGGCGUGCUGACCUCUCUGUUGUGCCUAGGUAGGGCUGCGACGUGUUGAUCUUCCGAGGCCAGGCAUGACCCAGAAAAGUGUGUCCAGACAAAGGGGAUCGAGCGUGUUGGGAAAUGUGGUGCACCCCUGCAGGGAAGUUAAUCUAUUCGAAUAGCCGUGAUCUUCGGUAACAGGACGACUUGGAGUUGUACCUUGACCUUAUGACAACUAGAACCGGAUACUAAAUAAAACACACCCUUCCAAGUGCCAAAUACAACCCGGUGGUCACUCUCUAACAGGGCGACGAGGGGAGGAUCGCCGGGUAGGAAUAUGCUAUGCAAUGAUACAUGGUGAACUUACCAUCUACUCUCUUCCUCUGCUGCAAGAUGGAGGUUACCAGAAGCGUAGUCUUCGAUAGGACUAGCUAUCCCCCUCUUAUUACGGCAUUCUGCAGUUCAGUCCACAUAUGUUACCCCCUUUUCCAUUUGAUACCAAUGCAUACAUAUGUAGUGUAGCUCCUUGCUUGCGAGUACUUUGGAUGAGUACUCACGGUUGCUUUGCUCCCCCUUUUCCCCUUUCCUAUACCCGAUUGUUGCGACCAGACGUUGGAGUCCAGGAGCCAGACGCCACUGUCGAUGACGACUCCUACUACACUAGAGGUGCUUACUACUACGUGCAGCCCGCUGACGACGACCAGGAGUAGUUGAGGAGGAUCCCAGGCAGGAGGCAUGCGCCUCUUUCAAUCUGUAUCCCAGUUUGUGCUAGCCUUCUUAAGGCAAACUUGUUUAACUUAUGUGUGUACUCAGAUAUUGUUGUUUCCGCUGACUCGUCUAUGAUCGAGCUCUUGUUUUCGAGCCUUCGAGGCCCCUGGCUUGUAAUAUGAUGCUUGUAUGACUUAUUUUAUUUGUAGAGUUGUGUUGUGAUAUCUUCCCGUGAGUCCCUGAUCUUGAUCGUACACGUUUGCGUGUAUGAUUAGUGUACGAUUGAAUCGGGAGCGUCACACUAGGAGUUUAGUAGCUUCUCCUAAAGUGAUUUCCAUAAAAGUGCCUCCCCCGGCCGAAUCUAAAAGAUUUCUAGAAGCAAAAUUCAACCCGGCAUAAUUUUUUUGUAUAAUCAUCCAUAAAUUCAAACCAUGUGUAGGGCAAUUACGUAUCAUUAAUUUCAUCCUCUCCCAAGCUUGUGCAACAUGUCCAUGAUCAAGUUGCUUAAAAUUCCUGAUAUCGUUUCUAAGAGAGAUGAUUUUAGCGGGAGGAAAAUACUUAGAGAUAAAAGCAUCUUUGCACUUAUUCAAUGAAUCAAUACUAUUUUUAGGCGAAGACGAAAACCAAGCUUUAGCAUGAUCUCUAAGCGAAAAAGGAAAUAGCUUCAAUUUAACAAUGUCAUUGUCCACAUCUAUCUUCCUUUGCAUAUCACAUAAAUCAAUGAAGCUAUUUAGGUGGGUAGCGGUAUCUUCGCUAGGAAGGCCGGCGAAUUGAUCUUUCAUGCCAAGAUUCAACAAAGCAGCAUUAAUUUCACAAGAUUCAUCAUCGGUAAGAGGAGCAGUCGGAGUGUUAAUAAAAUCAUUGUUGUUGGUAUUAGUGAGGUCACACAAUUCGGUGUUAUCUUGAGCCAUCGUGACAAGCAAGCAAUCCAACAAACAAGCAAACAAGAGACGGGCAAAAAGAGGCAAAUAGAGAAAGAGAGGGAGGAUAGAGAGAGAGAGAGAGGGCGAAUAAAACGGCAAGGGUGAAGUGGGGGAGAGGAAAACGAGAGGCAAAUGGCAAAUAAUGUAAUGCGGGAGAUAAGGAUUUGUGAUGGGUACUUGGUAUGUUGACUUUUGCGUAGACUCCCCGGCAACAGCGCCAGAAAUCCUUCUUGCUACCUCUUGAGCACUGCGUUAGUUUUCCCUUGAAGAGGAAAGGGUGAUGCAGUAAAGCAGCGUAAGUAUUUCCCUCAAUUUUUGAGAACCAAGGUAUCAAUCUAGUAGGAGGCCACACGCGAGUCCGUCGCACCUACACAAACAAAUAAAUCCUCGCAACCAACGCGAUAAGGGAUUGUCAAUCCCUACACGGUCACUUACGAGAGUGAGAUAGGAGCCCCAUGUAGGCACCACAUCUGGAAAAGCCUAGGGUGCAUAGGAGCCCCAUGUAGGCACCCAAAAUGUCAUGGCGCCAAGGCAUUCUAGGAACCUUCUAGAGCCCUCCUUUGGAAUCGAGCUUUCCCUCGAAGUUGUGGAACCACCAUUAAAAAAUUCAGAUUUCUGGAUAUCUUGGAAAUUACAAAGCGGUGAUGGGACUCAGAGUUUAGCGUGCAGCUACAACUCCCCUAGAAAGUAAGACCCCAUCUGAGGGGCGGCUCUUAUCCUCCAGAACUCUGGCCACCAAAAACCAAAAGCUAAACCCUUCUCUCUCUUAGGGGGAAGGCUAAGGAAGAAGGAAAAGGAGGGUAGCUCUCUUCCUUCUCUUUCAGUGGCAUUGGAGCGCCACUGGGGGAACCAUCAUCACCACCACCAUCUCCAACAACACCUUGCUACCUCUUGAGCACUGCGUCAGUUUUCCCUUGAAGAGGAAAGGGUGAUGCAGUAAAGUAGCGUAAGUAUUUCUCUCAGUUUUUGAGAACGAAGGUCUCAAUCCAGUAGGAGGCCACGCGCGAGUCCCUCGCAUCUACACAAACAAAUAAAUCCUCGCAACCAACGCGAUAAGGGGUUGUCAAUCCCUACACUAUCACUUACGAGAGUGAGAUCUGAUAGAUAUGAUAAGAUAAAACUUUUGGUAUUUUUAUGAUAAAGAUGCAAAGUAAAAUAGAAAGCAAUGAAAAUAACUAAGUAUUGGAAGAUUGAUAUAAUGGAGAAUAGACCCGGGGGCCAUAGGUUUCACUAGUGGCUUCUCUCAAGAGCAUAAGUAUUCACAGCGGGUAAACAAAUUACUGUUGAGCAAUUGACCGAAUUGAGCAUAGUUAUGAGAAUAUCUAGGUAUGAUCAUGUAUAUAGGCAUCACGUCCGAGACAAGUAGACCGACUCCUGCCUACAUCUACUGCUAUUACUCCACACAACGACCGCUAUCCAGCAUGCAUCUAGAGUAUUAAGUUCAAGAGAACAGAGUAACGCUUUAAGCAAGAUGACAUGAUGUAGAGGGAUAAACUCAUGUAAUAUGAUGAAAACCCCAUCUUGUUAUCCUCGAUGGCAAAAUACAAUACGUGCCUUGCUGCCCCUACUGUCACUGGGAAAGGACACCGCAAGAUUGAACCCAAAGCUAAGCACUUCUCCCAUUGCAAGAAAGAUCAAUCUAGUAGGCCAAACCAAACUGAUAAUUCGAAGAGACUUGCAAAGGUAACCAAUCAUACAUAAAAAUUCAGAGAAGAUUCAAAUAUUCUUCAUAGAUAAACUUGAUCAUAAACCCAUAAUUCAUCGGUCUCAACAAACACACCGCAAAAGAAGAUUACAUCGAAUAGAUCUCCACGAGAGAGGGGGAGAACAUUGUAUUGAGAUCCAAAAAGAGAGAAGAAGCCAUCUAGCUAAUAACUAUGGACCCGUAGGUCUGAAGUAAACUACUCACACUUCAUCGGAGGGGCUAUGGUGUUGAUGUAGAAGCCCUCCGUGAUCGAUGCCCCCUCCGGCAGAGCUCCGGAACAGGCCCCAAGAUGGGAUCUCGUGGAUACAGAAAGUGACGGCGGUGGAAUUAGGGUUUUGGCUCCGUAUCUGGUAGUUUGGGGGUACGUAGGUAUAUAUAGGAGGAAGGAGUACAUUGGUGGAGCAACAGGGGGCCCACGAGGGUGGAGGNNNNNNNNNNNNNNNNNNNNNNNNNNNNNNNNNNNNNNNNNNNNNNNNNNNNNNNNNNNNNNNNNNNNNNNNNNNNNNNNNNNNNNNNNNNNNNNNNNNNNNNNNNNNNNNNNNNNNNNNNNNNNNNNNNNNNNNNNNNNNNNNNNNNNNNNNNNNNNNNNNNNNNNNNNNNNNNNNNNNNNNNNNNNNNNNNNNNNNNNNNNNNNNNNNNNNNNNNNNNNNNNNNNNNNNNNNNNNNNNNNNNNNNNNNNNNNNNNNNNNNNNNNNNNNNUACCUCGUGGCUUCCCUGUUGGUUGCUUGACGUAGGGUCCAACUCUCCUGGAUCAUGUUCGUUCCAAAAAUCACGUUCCCGAAGGUUUCAUUCCGCUUGGACUCCGUUUGAUAUUCUUUUCUUACGAAACCAUAAAAUAGGCAAAAAAAACAACAAUUCUGGGCUGGGCCUCCGGUUAAUAGGUUAGUCCCAAGAAUAAUAUAAAAGUGUAUAAUAAAGCCCAAUAAUGUUUAAAACAGGAUAUAGUAUAGCAUGGAACAAUAAAAAAUUAUAGAUACGUUGGAGACGUAUCACACCUCCAUCAUAACCAUGCAAACCAACAACCCUUUCAUCAUCACCAUCACGCUCCUCUUCUCCAUGUGUGAGUAAUUUCUUGUAGGCACAUGGGGUGCAUCCAAUCUGGGUGAUAGAAAAUUAUGUAAUAGUGUUAAGAUUGAUGUAGUAUUGACCUCGUGUGUUUGAGAAUUAUUUUUUCUAUGACUUUGUUGUGCCCAAUUCCUUUUUACUAGGGCCCGAGUAAUAAUAUUUCAGAUGUGAAUCAUGUUUGUAUUUUGUGUGUUUUUGUUCAUGAUCGUACCUGCACGUCAUAUGCACCUGUUUUGUUUCAAACCGGAGACCUCGAGGGUGACAGACUGGGGUAUCAAAGGGAAUGGAUAUAAUUUGAGGAUUACAUGUAUUAGUGUAGUGUUAAUGCAUUGUUUUGGUUGAGUCCCAGGGUCAGCUUAAUAACUCUUACUUUCCUUAUAAACCCCAAAGAAAAGGGCGGUUGGACCGUACAUGAGAGGCACGUUCUUUUUAAGCAUGUCUCUCAAUUUAAGGAAUACAAGACUAUUUUUUCGAGAUAAUCCAGAAGUCAUGUUACAUCACCGCACCAUGUAAUGAUUUGUCCCGUCUGGGUAUUAUACACCCCUAUGCCUACACUUUUCAUCAUUGCUUGCUCUCUUUAAAAUAUUUGAUACUUGGCAACUUUGGGUAUUUGUUGCUUGUUACUAUGCUUUGUGUUACUCUACCGUGACCUACAUCAAUCAAUCAACUUGCUACUUAAUAAGGGAAACACUAAAAGUGCAAAGAUAGUUUCGUGAGUGACACAUGUAACUUGAAAUAACAGAAAUGUACUUUUGGCUCUCAUGUGGUAUGACAUUCAAUACUUCCACAUCCACAUUGGAAAAAGUUUUAUAAUAACUCCCUACACUUGGAGAUUAUCAAGCUGCAUCCGCACAUGCGAGGCGUCAGACACAUGGAUAAUACGAUGGCACUGUCAUCUUCCCGAGCGCCGACUUCACCCAUGCUACUACUGUUGGCGAGGCUUACAACACACUACCAUGACUCCAUAUCCUAGGGGAGAGAGAAGGAGAUGUGGAGGGGGGUAGAGAGAGACUGUUGAUAUGUGCCCCCCUUCCAACUUAACGGUCAACACAACCUCUGUCUAUUUUUCAUUUAAUGGCUCAUGGAAACAAUGCUGACUUGUGGUCCCACUUUAGUGUUUACAUGUGGGUCCAACUAGUCAGUAAAAUAAUUAAAAUUAACUAACUACAUCACUAGUGUUCUUUGUGAAUUUUGAGCAUGAUGUAAGUGGUAUUGGCGAUAAAGCUGAAAUGUGGUUUUGGGACCUACAUAUACGCUUGAUGAUUUACAAGAACGAUCCUACUACUUGUAGAUUUUGACCUAGGGUUUCCGCCUUUGAGGCAUGGGUUGGGCCGUGAGGUUGUGAGCCCAAGCCGUCACAUGACCCUGUGGGCCGGGAGGGCCACUCUAUUGCAAGUAUCACAUCAUUUCUUGAGAAUUGUACAUUAAAAAAGAUGAAAAUAAUGACAUCUAUAAGUUCUUGGAAGAUUUUUUUUCCGUUGAAAACAAGUGCUCUUCAGACGAACUUCCAAUUUUUGAGGAUUGUGAACACGUCCAAGUAUUUCUUACGAUUCUCGAAUUAUUUCCUCUAUUUCUGGAAUUUUGGAGUGCUAGAGGAAUGGGUAAAUUGUUUGUUUCCCUUCCCAUAUUUGAUUGUUUAGUCUUGAAUACAAAAUGGCAGCAUUAUAGAUUUGCAUUUAUAAUUAGAUUUACAGAAGGUCUAACUACUCCUGAGCUCAAAUGUACCCGAUAAAACAACAUAUCCAAGAAAAAUAGAAAAAAAUUAUUCUUUUAAUAACCAUGGUCGAGGGCUCUAUGUAGUUAAAAUUCUUAUGGGGAAUAUGAGAGUUGUGUUGCUAUGAAAAAAACGAACCUAUAACAUGCUUCAAAAUUUGGCUUUUUUAGAGCAUCAGAUUUGUGAUUUGUCAAGGCACCACCGAUGUCAUUUCUUAACAAUAUUUCCAAAAAAACAUAUUUUUAUUUUAUGUUUUGCUAUUUUUUUGGAUGUUGUUCACACGGCUGAUGUGUAUCCAUGUGCCAAUACUUCAUAUGUAUCGGUGAGCAUACCUAGUUGCAGUGAGAUACGCUCUGUACAUACCCAAUCGAGUCACCUAGAUAGUACCUAGAGAGACUCAUGUUCUACGCCCAAGUAGGUAGUUGAAAGGAAUAUGAUAAGGAAAGGGUGAACUAAGUCAGGGAUUCAAUUCUUAUGAGAGAUAUGCUUCCCAUAACAACAUGAUUACCUGAUCAUAUCAUAUUCUCCAAAGGUGAUAUUCUCCGAAGGUCUAACUACGCUCUGUACAUUACCCUUCCUCCGAAGUAUCAUCCAACUUCGAAGGCAACAGGCACAUAAACAUCGAGAUCCCUUCGGCAACCACCUUUCCACUACAGUGUCUAAUGAUGUGAUAUUUCACUGUAUUCUAUGGAUGUAUAGGUAUGAUUUAUUUUAGUAUGGAUAUAGUAUCAGCUGAUUCCAUGAACACUUGCCGACAAUCCAAUAUAAUUUAUUGGUCAUCAUUAGGGAGUCUUUGUUGAUUUUCCCUCUAGAAGAUUAAGAGUUCAAUAUGUAAGUGCUGACUCAAACGAAGUUUGAAUCGAUAAUCACACAAUUACUAGUAGAUAAUAUCAUGUACAAUUUCCAACGAUUUCAAUUUUGAAUGCAUGUCAAAAUAUGAUUGUAAUCAGUCCAAUGAAUUAGCGGUUUUAAUUUGGCACUGUGAUUCGAAAGUUUGUCAUUGAAUCAGGAAGUCAGGUCAAAAGCACAAAUUUAAAUUAUCAUGAUUUUUCUGAUCAAGAACAGACUAACCACAUCCUAGGUGAUCCCCACUGACUUAUUCCUCUGAACAUUCAACCCUGUAUGGGAAAAGGCCCACCUCCACAUACAACCAUGCGUAAGAAACAAAAAUGCUUAGUCAUUUGUAUUUUUUAUCGAUUAGUCAUUUAUAUUAACUUAUUUAGCUAUUCACACUCAACCUUUUUCGCAAAAAAGCAUAUUGUACUACUAUACAAUAACUAUUUUUUAAUUUGAGUUUUUAUAUUAUAAAUAUAAAAAUUUAUGUUUCACAUAAGUAAAUCACAGUGCGUACUCAUAGUUCUAUGUGUGUGUAUGGCUGCGACUACAAUAUCAUAAAAUACUAGUAAGAUGCCUGUGUUUCGCUACGGAAUCACAAAAGAUAAGAAAAAGCAGGAAUGUACCAACACAUUGAUCAAAGCGAUGCCACAUAGCUAAUUGAUACCCAUUAGACAUAAACAAACAUACAGUUUCCAACCAAUAUAACCCUUCUAAGACAAGCAGUUUUUUUCUCCAUCUUCACUUUACAAGAAUAUGUUUGUUCUCCCUACUCGGCUUUAUCAUUGUUCACUCUGUCCUAUUGGCAAUAGAAAAUAUUUCCACACAUUUGGAAAUUGUGAUGACACAGACCGGCUUUAUCUUGGACUUCAAAUUGGUCUAUGUCUCCAGAUCAUCUUCCCUUAACAUGGGCUCCACCUCCAGUACACACACACUAUUCUACACUAGAAAUGAUUAUGCAUUAAGCAUAUCACUUUAACCUAAUCUUAAUAUGAAUAAUGGAAGAAUGACAAUGCCCCAAUAUCAAUAUUUAUCGACAGGAAUUAGUGCAUUGGAGGUACCAUGAUUAUUGACUUCAUCUUUGGGUCCAAUCUGAUGGGUUCAACCUAUUAGCACAUUUCCUCUUCCAUCACCUAUCACAUAAUGGUAUUUUGAAGCAUAGCAAUCUGCAAUAUUGCAAGUGUGACCAACCAAUAUUAAAUAUUGGUUAAACAGUUUGUUAAAUGUAUUAUAGUCCCGUAAAUAGCAAACAUAUCACAGUCAGCAAUUGACGAGGAAAACUAUGAAAAAGAACAUACAAACAAAAAUAAUUCAUACAAAACUUGCUUACAUAAAAGAUCAUAUACAAGUUAAAAAAUGGUUGCAUGUACAUGAAUGAUUGGAAUCUGGAACAUAGAAAGAAGCAUUGAUGCCUCAACAUAACCGCGAGAUUCGAAAGAGAUAUAGGUUCCAGUUUAGUUUUAUGACACAACGGGAUAGUUGUUGAUUUAAUUGAUAGAAGAAAUAAACAAUUUACAGAACAUAGGAAAAGUAUAAGACAAACACACAAUGACCAUGUACACUAAUCUAAAUUACUAUGGCAAAAUGAUGUGAUGUGCGUUGGCCUCGUUCCAACACUGACUUCCUCAAUGGAAAGACAUGCAAGCAACGCAACCAAUAAUUCCAAAUUGCAAAAUAUGUGACAGUGGCGGUGGCGCUCGUCAUGAAGAGAACAAAAAUUUUAGGCAUGACUCACGCAACUAGUUCCACUUACACAGUUACAUAACUUCGGCAUCUCUCAGGACAUGGAAUCGUUUGUCAAGCAUAGUAUACCCUUAUCAUAGUUGUUUUCUCAAAACAUAUGCAAACACAAUAUUAGCUACCGAGCUCUCGCUUCAUCUAUCUUAUCACCAAGAAGAACAUCAGACAAUCACUACUACAUAUAUAACAAUCUGUAUUAUAUCUAGGCAAAUGAGAAAUACUUUCUUAGAUCUGAUAGGAGAAACACAUAACAUACGGAGGGAUGAGCGUGGUUGGGAGCGGACACAGUAGGUAGGGGUAGUUAGCACCACCACACUAGCGCCUCCUCGAACGAGCAGCUCGCCACCAAUAUAAAUCCUUUGCUUCUACAAAGCCCGGGCCUACUCAUAGUGUUACUCACGCUGGUAGGCUCCAUGAAAAAAGCCCUCAAGUUGGAGGUCCAAAGCCUGCACAAAAGAGAAUCAACCCAACAACCACAAAGUUAAAAUGAACAUACCAGGAUAUGCCAGCACAAUCACCACUAUCCUCUCCGUCUUCAAUGACUUGCACAGCCUGAUCUAGAAGGAUAGGUACUCAGCAAGCUCAAAGCCAAAUCUGAUUUCUUGAGACCCUAAUUACAACUACAACUAGACAAGGGGAGGGACCCUCGCUCAACUCAACUUGUUUGGUCGCCUGAAAGAGUGGGGGGGGAGGGGUGGUGUUGCCCGAUGGUGAGGAAUUUUGGAGGAGUUCUCGAAGAUUCUUUGUUUUUAUCUGAAGACUCGAUUUCUUUCGCGGGAGAAGGAGAAAGGAGAACUAAUAGCUAUUUUUCUACAUGAGAACAAUUCUAGUGUUUCAGAUGGUUUUUUUUGCAGAAGUGCAACUGUUGUUGUUCGGGGGCAACUGGUCUCAGACUCAUCGGACGGUUCAGAUUGCAUGAUGGUACGUAUGCAGCUUGGUGGGUAGGCAUGCAGACGGUUAGUUUCAAGGUGUAUUGUGUACAUGUCUUGGCAUCUUGCAUCAACACUCAUGUUGUUAGGGCAUCUCCAACCCCGACCCUUAAACCUCCCGCAAUCGUCUAGACCGCGCUUCGGACCGCAAAAGCCAUCCAACUCGGGCCUAUAUCGGUCCACGUCAUGGUCUAUACACAUUUUCUCCCACAAACCAGAGACAAACAUGGGAGAGCUUUGCGGGAGUCCGGAUUACUGUCAUGCUCGCUUCUAACCACCCUAGCCCACCCAAACCCCUCCUCCCUCACCCGUACGUGUUUCUGCCCGACGUCAGCUGCCCACAUGAAGGAAAUAUGCCCUAGAGGCAAUAACAAAGUUGUUAUUUAUAUUUCCUUAUAUCAUGAUAAAUGUUUAUUAUUCGUGCUAGAAUUGUAUUAACCGGAAACUUAGUACAUGUUGAUACGUCUCCAACGUAUCUAUAAUUUUUGAUUGCUCCAUGCUAUAUUAUCUACUGUUUUGGACUAUAUUGGGCUUUAUUUUCCACUUUUAUAUUAUUUUUGGGACAAACCUAUUAACCAGAGGCCUAGCCCAGAAUUGCUAUUUUUUGCCUAUUUCAGUGUUUCAGAUAAACGGAAUAUCAAACGGAGUCCAAACGGAAUAAAAUCUUCGGGAACAUGAUUUUCUCACCGAACGUGAUCCAGGAGACUUGGACCCUGCUCCAAGGAACAAAAGAGGCGGUCACGAGGGUGGGGGCGCCCUCCUAGGGCGCGCCCCCUGCCUCGUGGGCCCCUUGUUGCUCCUCCGACGUACUUAUUCCUCCUAUAUAUACACACGUACCCCCCAACGAUCAGAACAGGAGCCAAAAACCUAAUUCCACCGCCGCAACUUUCUGUAUCCACGAGAUCCCAUCUUGGGGCCUGUUCCGGAGCUCCGCCAGAAUAGGACCGUAAUCACGGAGGGCUUCUACAUCAUCCUAGCCCCUCCGAUGAAGUGUGAGUAGUUUGCCUCAGACCUUCGGGUCCAUAGUUAGUAGCUAGAUGGCUUCUUCUCUCUCUUUGAAUCUCAAUACAAAGUUCUCCCCCUCUCUUGUGGAGAUCUAUUCGAUGUAAUCUUCUUUUUGCGGUGUGUUUGUUGAGACCGAUGAAUUGUGGGUUUAUGAUCAAGUCUAUCUAUGAAUAAUAUUUGAAUCUUCUCUGAAUUCUUUUAUGUAUGAUUGGUUAUCUUUGCAAGUCUCUUUGAAUUAUCCGUUUGGUUUGGCCAACUAGAUUGGUAGUUCUUGCCAUGGGAGAAGUGCUUAGCUUUGGGUUCGAUCUUGCGGUGUCCUUACCCAGUGACAGAAGGGGCAGCAAGGCACGUAUUGUAUCGUUGCCAUCGAGGAUAACAAGAUGGGGUUUAUUUCAUAUUGCAUGAAUUUAUCUGUCUACAUCAUGUCAUCUUGCUUAAGGCGUUCCUCUGUUUUUAACUUAAUACUCUAGAUGCAUGCUGGAUAGCGGUCGAUGAGUGGAGUAAUAGUAGUAGAUGCAGAAUCGUUUCGAUCUACUUGUCAUGGACGUGAUGCCUAUAUACAUGAUCAUGCCUAGAUAUUCUCAUAACUAUGAUCAGUUCUGUCAAUUGCUCAACAGUAAUUUGUUCACCCACCGUAGAAUACUUAUGCUCUUGAGAGAAGCCACUAGUGAAACCUAUGGCCCCCGGGUCUAUUCUCAUCAUAUCAAUCUCCAUCACUUUAAUCUUGCUUUGCUUUUUUACUUUGCUUUUACUUUUCACUUUGCAUCUUUAUACCAAAAAUACCAAAAAUAUUAUAUCUAUCAGAUCUCACUCUCGUAAGUGACCAUGAAGGGAUUGACAACCCCUAAUCGCAUUGGUUGUGAGUAGCUAUCGCUUUGUGCAGGUACGAGGUACUUGAGCGUGGGCUCCUACUGGAUUGAUACCUUGGUUCUAAAAAACUGAGGGAAAUACUUACGCUACUCUGCUGCAUCAUCCCUUCCUCUUCGGGGAAAACCAACGCAAGCUCAAGACGUAGCAAGAAGGAUUUCUGGCGCCGUUGCCGGGGAGUCUACGCAAAAAGUCAACAUACCAAGUACCCAUCACAAUCCCUAUCUCUCGCAUUAUAUUAUUUGCCAUUUGCCUCACGUUUUCCUCUCCCCCCAAUUCACCCUUGCCGUUUCAUUCGCCCUCUCUCUCUCUAUCCUCCCUCUCUAUUUUCCUCCUUUGGACCGCUUGCCUUUUUGUUUGCUCGUGUGUUAGAUUGCUUGUUUUUCGCGAUGGCUCAAGAUACUACUAAAUUGUGUGACUUCACCAAUACUAAUAAUAAUGAUUUCCUUAGCACUCCAAUUUCUCCUCUUACCGAUGAUGAAUCUUAUGAAAUUGAUACUGCUUUGUUGAAUCUUGUUACGAAAGAUCAAUUCGCCGGCCUUCCUAGUGAAGAUGCCGCUACUCAUCUGAAUAGCUUCGUUGAUUUAUGUGAUAUGCUAAAGAAAAAAGAUGUCAAUAAUGAUGUCAUUAAAUUUAAGCUAUUUCCUUUUUCUCUUAGAGAUCGUGCUAAAGCUUGGUUUUCGUCUUUGCCUAAGAAUAGUAUUGAUUCAUGGAACAAGUGCAAAGAUGCUUUUAUCUCUAAGUAUUUUCCUCCCGCUAAGAUCAUCUCUCUUAGAAACGAUAUUAUGAACUUUAAACAACUUGAUCAUGAACAUGUUUCACAAGCUUGGGAGAGAAUGAAAUUAAUGAUACGUAAUUGCCCUACUCAUGGUUUGAAUUUGUGAAUGAUUAUACAAAUUUUUAUGCCGAAUUGAAUUUUGCUUCUAGAAAUCUUUUAGAUUCGGCCGCGGGAGGCACUUUUAUGGAAAUCACUUUAGGAGAUGCUACUAACUCCUAGAUAAUAAUAUGGUUAAUUAUUCUCAAUGGCAUACUGAAAGAUCUUCUAAUAAAAAAGUGCAUGCGAUAGAAGAAAUCAAUGUGUUGAGUGGAAAGAUGGAUGAACUUAUGAAAUUAUUUGCUACUAAGAGUGCUUCUUUUGAUCCUAAUGAUAUCCCUUUGUCUACUUUGAUUGAGAAUAACUAUGAAUCUAUGGAUGUGAAUUUUGUUGGUAGGAGUAAUUUUGGUAACAAUGCUUAUAGAGGGAAUUUUAAUUCUAGGCCAUAUCCUAGUAAUCCAUCUAAUAAUUAUGGGAAUUCUUACAACAACUCUUAUGGAAAUUAUAAUAAGAUGCCCUCUGAAUUUGAGACUAGUGUUAAAGAGUUUAUGAAUUCACAAAAGAAUUUUAAUGCUUUGCUUGAGGAGAAAUUGCUUAAAGUUGAUGAUUUGGCUAGAAACGUUGAUAGAAUUUCUCUUGAGAUUGAUUCUUUAAAGCUUAGAUCUAUUCCUCCUAAGCAUGAUAUUAAUGAGUCUCCCAAAGCCAUGAGAAUUUCCAUUGAUGAGUGCAAGGAAAGAACCGCUAGGAUGCGUGCUUCCAAAGAUGCCUUUAUUAAAGCGUGUUCUUCCAAUACCUAUGAAAAUCAAGAUGAAGAUCUAAAAGUUAUUGAUGUGUCUCCUAUUAAAUCUUUAUUUUGCAAUAUGAAUCUUGAUGAAACUGAAUAUGAUCUUCCUUUACCUAGAAGGCGUUCUAAAAAUUCGGAGUAUUUAGAUCUUAAUGAUGAAAUUGAUGAAAGUGGGAUUGAAAGAAAUAAAAAUCUAGAUGUUGCUAAACCCACUAUAUUGGAUUUCAAGGAAUUUAAUUAUGAAAGUUGCUCUUUAAUUUAUUGUAUUUCCUUGUUGCAAUCCGUGCUAAAUUCUCCACAUGCUUAUAGUCAAAAUAAAGCCUUCAAAGAACAUAUUGUUUAUGCCUUGAUGCAAUCUUAUGAAGAAAAACUUGAGUUGAAAGUUUCUAUCCCUAGAAAACUCUAUGAUGAGUGGGAACCAACUAUUAAAAUUAAAAUUAAAGAUCAUGAGUUUUAUGCUUUGUGUGAUUUGGGUGCUAGUGUCUCUACUAUUCCCAAGACUUUGUGUGAUUUACUAGAUUUCCGUAAUUUUGAUGAUUGCUCUCUAAACUUGCAUCUUGCGGAUUCCACUAUUAAGAAACCUAUGGGAAGGAUUAAUGAUGUUAUUAUUGUUGCAAGUAGGAAUUAUGUGCCCGUAGAUUUCAUUGUUCUUGAUAUAGAUUGCAAUCAUUCUUGCCCUAUUAUUCUUGGUUGACCUUUCCUUAGAACGGUUGGUGCGAUUAUUGAUAUGAAGGAAGGGAAUAUUAGAUUUCAAUUUCCAUUAAAAAGGGCAUGGAACACUUUCCUAGAAAUAAAAAUAAGAUUUCCAUAUGAAACUAUCAUGAGAGCCACUUAUGUAUUUCCUACGAAAGAUGGCAAUACCUAGAUCUAUCCUCGCUUUUAUGCCUAGCUAGGGGCGUUAAACGAUAGCACUUGUUGGGAGGCAACCCAAUUUUAUUUUUAUUCCUUGCUUUUUGCUCCUGCUUAGUAAUAAAUAAUUAUUUAGCCUCUGUUUUGGUUGUGUUUUUUAUGUUUAAUUAGUGUUUUUGCCAAGUAGAACCGUUGGGAAGACUUGGGGAAAGUCUUGUUGAACUUGCUGUAAAAAACAGAAACUUUAGCGCUCACGAGAACUGCUGUCAUUUUUAUUUUAAGAGUGCUACUUAGUUAAUUAUUUUUGCAGAUGAUUAUUAGAUAAAUUACUCACGUCCAUCAAUUUAUUUUAGAAUUUUUGGGGUUCCAGAUCUUGCGCUAGCUAUAGAUUACUACAGACUGUUCUGUUUUUGACAGAUUCUGUUUUUCGUGUGUUGUUUGCUUAUUUUGAUGAAUCUAUGGCUAGUAAAAUAGUUUAUAAUCCAUAGAUAAGUUGGAAUACAGUAGGUUUAACACCAAUAUAAAUAAAUAAUGAGUUCAUUACAGUACCUUAAAGUGGUCUUUUGUUUUCUUUCGCUAACGAAGCUCAUGAGUUUUCUAUUUUGAGUUUUGUGUUGUGAAGUUUUCAAGUUUUGUGUGAUUUCUUUUGAUGGAUCAUGGAACAAGGAGUGGCAAGAGCCUACGCUUGGGGAUGACCAUGGCACCCCCAAGAUAAUCCAAGGACACCAAAAAGUCAAAGCUAGGGGAUGCCCCGGAAGGCAUCCCCUCUUUCGUCCACUUCCAUCGGUAAUUUACUUGGAGCUAUAUUUUUAUUCACCAACAUGAUAUGUGUUUUGCUUGGAGCGUCUUGUAUUAUUUGUGUCUUUGUGUCUUAGUAUGCCACAAUCAUCCUUGCUGUACACACCUUUUGAGAGAGCCAUACAUGAAUUAAAAUUUGAUAGAAUACUCUAUGUGCUUCACUUAUAUCUUUUGAGCUAAGUAGUUUUGCUCUAUGUGCUUCACUUAUAUCUUUUGAGCUAGAUAGUUUUGCUCUAUGUGCUUCACUUAUAUCUUUUGAGUGUUAUAAUUUUGCUCUAUGUGCUUCACUUAGAUCAUUUAGAGCACGGUGGUGGAUUUGUUUUAAAGAAACUAUUGAUCUCUCAUGCUUCACUUAAAUUAUUUUGAGAGUCUCUUAAUAGCAUGGUAAUUUGCUUAAUAAUAAUAUGCUUGGUAUUCAAGAUUUGUGAAACUUUCUUUUGAGUGUGUUGAAUACUAAGAAAAGAUUGAAGCAUGAUAAUUGUUUUGAGAUAUGGAGGUGAUAAUAUUAAAGUCAUGCUAGUUGAGUAGUUGUGAAUUUAAAGAAUACUUGUGUUAAGGUUUGUGAUUCCCGUAGCAUGCACGUAUGGUGAACCGUUAUGUAACGAAGUCAGAGCAUGAUUUAUUUAUUGAUUGUCUUCCUUAUGAGUGGCGGUCGGGGACGAGUGAUGGUCUUUUCCUACCAAUCUACCCCCCUAGGAGCAUGCGCACAAUACUUUGCUUUGAUAACUUCAAGAUUUUUGCAAUAAGUAUAUGAGUUCUUUAUGACUAAUGUUGAGUCCAUGGAUUAUACGCACUCUCACCCUUCCACCUUUGCUAGCCUCUCUAAUACAGCGCACCUUUCGCCGGUAUCAUACACCUACCAUAUACCUUCCUCAAAACAGCCACCAUACCUACCUAUUAUGGCAUUUCCAUAGCCAUUCCGAGAUAUAUUGCCAUGCAACUUUCCACCACCUAGUUCAUCAUGACACAUUCAUCAUUGUCAUAUUGCUUAGCAUGAUCAUGUAGUUGACAUAGUAUUUGUGGCAAAGCCACCGUUCAUAAUUUCUUCAUACAUGUCACUCUUGAUUAAUUGCAUAUCCCGGUACACCGCCGGAGGCAUCCAUAUAGAGUCAUACUUUGUUUUAGAAUCGAGUUGUAAUCAUUGAGUUGUAAAUAAAUAAAAGUGUGAUGAUCAUCAUUCAAUAGAGCAUUGUCCCAAUAAAAAAAGAGAAAGGCCAAAAAAAGAAGCCCCCCCCCAAAAAAAUAAAAAUAAAAAGGGUCAAUGCUACUAUCCUUUUACCACACUUGUGCUUCAAAGUAGCACCAUGAUAUAGCGAGUCUCAUAUAUUGUGCUUCAAAGUAGCACCAUGUUCUUCAUAUAGAGAGUCUCAUAUGUUGUCACUUUCAUAUACUAGUGGGAAUUUUACAUUAUAGAACUUGGCUUGUAUAUUCCAAUAAUGGGCUUCCUCAAAUUGCCUUAGGUCUUCGUGAGCAAGCAAGUUGGAUGCACACCCACUAGUUUCUUUUGUUGAGCUUUCAUACAUUUAUAGCUCUAGUGCAUCCGUUGCAUGGAAAUCCCUACUCACUCACAUUGAUAUCUAUUGAUGGGCAUCUCCAUAGCCCAUUGAUACGCCUAGUUGAUGUGAGACUAUCUUCCCCUCCUUUUUGUCUUCUCCACAACCACCAUUCUAUUCCACCUAUAGUGCUAUAUCCAUGGCUCACGCUCAUGUAUUGCGUGAAGAUUGAAAAAGUUUUGAAAAAGUUAGAAUAUGAAACAAUUGCUUGGCUUGUCAUCGGGGUUGUGCAUGAUUUGAAUACUUUGUGUGGUGAAGAUGGAGCAUAUCCAAACUAUAUGAUUUUGUAGGGAUAACUUUCUUUGGCCAUGUUAUUUUGAGAAGACAUAUUUGCUUUAUUAGUAUGCUUGAAGUAUUAUUAUUUUUAUGUCAAUAUAAACUUUUGUCUUGAAUCUUUCUAAUCUGAAUAUUCAUACCACAAUUAAGAAGAUUUGCAUUGAAAUUAUGCCAAGUAGCACUCCGCAUCAAAAAUUCUCUUUUUAUCAUUUACCUACUCGAGGACGAGCAGGAAUUAAGCUUGGGGAUGCCUGAUGCGUCUCCAACGUAUCUAUAAUUUUUGAUUGCUUCAUGCUAUAUUAUCUACUGUUUUGGACUAUAUUGGGCUUUAUUUCCCACUUUUAUAUUAUUUUUGGGACUAACCUAUUAACCGGAGGCCCAGCCCAGAAUUGCUGUUUUUUGCCUAUUUUAGUGUUUCAGAUAAACGGAAUAUCAAAUGGAGUCUAAACAGAAUAAAAUCUUCGGGAAUGUGAUUUUCUCACCGAACGUGAUCUAGGAGACUUGGACCCUGCUCCAAGGAACAAAAGAGGCGGUCACGAGGGUGGGGGGCGCCCCCCCUAGGGCGCGCCCCCUGCCUCGUGGGCCCCUCGUUGCUCCUCCGGCAUACUUCUUCCUCCUAUAUAUACACACGUACAACCAAACGAUCAGAACAGGAGCCAAAAACCUAAUUCCACCGCCGCAACUUUCUGUAUCCACGAGAUCCCAUCUUGGGGCCUGUUCCGAAGCUCUGCCGGAAGACGACCGUCAUCAUGGAGGGCUUCUAUAUCAUCCUAGCCCCUCCGAUGAAGUGUGAGUAGUUUACCUCAGACCUUUGGGUCCAUAGUUAGUAGCUAGAUGGCUUCUUCUCUCUCUUUGAAUCUCAAUACAAAGUUCUCCCCCUGUCUUGUGGAGAUCUAUUCGAUGUAAUCUUCUUUUUGCGGUGUGUUUGUUGAGACCGAUGAAUUGUGGGUUUAUGAUCAAGUCUAUCUAUGAAUAAUAUUUGAAUCUUCUCUGUCUUACGUAUGAUUGGUUAUCUUUGCAAGUCUCUUCGAAUUAUCCGUUUGGUUUGGCCAACUAGAUUGGUAGUUCUUGCCAUGGGAGAAGUGCUUAGCUUUGGGUUCGAUCUUGCGGUGUCCUUACCCAGUGACAGAAGGGGCAGCAAGGCACGUAUUGUAUCGUUGCCAUCGAGGAUAACAAGAUGGGUUUUAUUUCAUAUUGCAUGAAUUUAUCUCUCUACAUCAUGUCAUCUUGCUUAAGGCGUUGCUCUGUUUUUAACUUAAUACUCCAGGUGUAUGCUGGAUAGCGGUCGAUGAGUGGAGUAAUAGUAGUAGAUGCAGAAUCGUUUCGAUCUACUUGUCAUGGACGUGAUGCCUAUAUACAUGAUCAUGCCUAGAUAUUCUCAUAACUAUGCUCAAUUCUGUCAAUUGCUCAACAGUAAUUUGUUCACCCACCGUAGAAUACUUAUGCUCUCGAGAGAAACCACUAGUGAAACCUAUGGCCCCCGGGUCUAUUCUCAUCAUAUCAAUCUCCAUCACUUUAAUCUUGCUUUGCUUUUUUACUUUGCUUUUACUUUUUACUUUGCAUCUUUAUACCAAAAUACCAAAAAUAUUAUAUCUAUUAGAUCUCACUCUCGUAAGUGACCGUGACAGGAUUGACAACCCCUAAUCACGUUGUUUGCGAGUAGCUAUCGCUUUGUGCAGGUACGAGGGACUUGAGCGUGGGCUCCUACUGGAUUGAUACCUUGGUUAUCAAAAACUGAGGGAAAUGCUUACGCUACUCUGCUGCAUCAUCCCUUCCUCUUCAGCGAAAACCAACGCAAGCUCAAGACGUAGAACAUGUGUGAAUACAUAGACAAAUAGAGUGUCCCUAGUAUGCCUCUACUAGACUAGCUCAUUAAUCAAAGAUGGUUAAGUUUCCUGACCAUAGACAUGUGUUAUCAUUUGAUGAACGGGAUCACAUCAUUAGAGAAUGAUGUGAUGGACAAGACCCAUCCAUUAGCUUAGCAUUAUGAUCGUUUAGCUUAUUGCUAUUGCUUUCUUCAUGACUUAUACAUGUUCCUAUGACUAUGAGAUUAUGCAACUCCUGAAUAAAGGAGGAACACUUAGUGUGCUAUCAAACGUCACAACGUAACUGGGUGAUUAUAAAGAUGCUCUACAGGUGUCCCCGAUGGUGUUUGUUGAGUUGGCAUAGAUCGAGAUAGGAUUUGUCACUCCGUGUAUCGGAGAGGUAUCUCUGGGCCCUCUCGGUAAUGCACAUCACUAUGAGCCUUGCAAGCAAUGUGACUAAUGAGUUAACCACGGUAUAAUGCAUUACGGAACGAGUAAAGAGACUUGCUGGUAACGAGAUUGAAUUAGGUAUGAUGAUAACAACGAUCGAAUCUCGGGCAAGUAACAUACCGAUGACAAAGGGAACAAUGUAUUUUGUUAUGCGGUUUGAUCGAUAAAGAUCUUCGUAGAAUAUGUAGGAGCCAAUAUGAGCAUCUAGGUUCCGUUAUUGGUUAUUGACCGGAGAUGUGUCUUGGUCAUGUCUACAUAGUUCUCGAACCCAUAGGGUCCACACACUUAACGUUUGAUGACAAUCUGUAUUAUGAGCUAUGUGAUUUGAUGACUGAAGUUUUUUCGGAGUCCCGGAUGAGAUCACGGACAUGACAAGUAGUCUCAAAAUGGUUGAGACAUAAAUAUUCAUAUAUUGGAAGGUUACAUUCGGACACCGGAAUGGUUCGGGUCGUUUCGGAGUACCGGGGGUUAUUGGAACCCCCUCGGGAAGUUAUUGGGCCUCAUCGGCCUAGUGGUGGAGGAGAGAAGGCCGGCCAGGGAGUGGCGUGCGCCCCCCUAGCCUUUCUUUCUCUCCUCCUCGUCCUUCCCUCCUUCUCCUACUAGGCAUAGGAAAGAGGAGGGGAAUCCUACUUGGACUGGGGAGUCCUAGUAGGAUUCCCCACACCUAGCACGCCCCCUUUGGCCGGCCACCUCUUCCCUCCCCUCCUUUAUAUACGUGGCCAGGGAGCACCCCGUAGACAUACAAGUUGAUCUUUUAGCCGUGUGCAGUGCCUUCCUCCACAGUUACACACCUCGGUCAUAUCGUCGUAAUGCUUAGGCGAAGCCCUGCGCCGGUAACUUCAGCAUCACCGAUGCCACGCCGUCGUGCUGACGAAACUCUCCCUCGACCCUCUACGGGAUCAAGAGUUCGAGGGACGUCAUUGAGCUGAACGUGUGCUGAACUCGGAGGUGUCGUACGUUCGGUACUUGAUCAGUUGGAUCGCGAAGACGUUCGACUAAAUCAACUGCGUUAACAUAACGCUUCCGCUUUCGGUCUACGAGGGUACGUGGACACACUCUCCCUCUCUCAUUGCUAUGCAUCCCAUAGAUAGAUCUUGUGUGAUCGUAGGAAUUCUUUUAAAAUACUGCCUUCCCCAAUAGUGGCAUCCGAGCCAGGUCUAUGCGUAGAUGUUAUAUGCAGGAGUAGAACACAAAGAGUUGUGUGCGAUAAUAGUCAUACUGCUUACCAGCAACGUCUUACUUUGAUUCAGCGGUAUUGUUGGGUGAAGCGGCCCAGACCGACAUUACAUGACCGCAUUCAUGAGACUGGUUCUACCGAUGUGCUUCGGACACAGGUGGCUAGUGGGUGUCUGUUUAUCCAACUUUAGUUAAAUCGAGUUUGACUAUGCACGGUCCUUGUUGAAGGUUAAAACAGCACACUUGACGAAAAAUCGUUGUGGUUUUGAUGUGUAGGUAAGAACGGUUCUUGCUAAAGCCCGUAACAGCCACGUAAAACUUGCAACAACAAAGUAAAGGACGUCUAACUUGUUUUUGCAGGGCAUGUUGUGAUGUGAUAUGGUCAAGACGUGAUGAGAUAUAAAUUGUUGUAUGAGAUUAUCAUGUUUUGUUAAAGUUAUCGGCAACUGGCAAGCGCCUUAUGGUUGUCUCUUUAUUGCAUAAGAUGCAAGUGCCAUAUAAUUGCUUUACUUUAUCGCUAUGCAAUAGCAAUAGUUGCAAAAUCAAUAGUUGGCGAGACGACCAUGUGACGACACGUUGAUAAAGAUCAAGAUGAUGGAGAUCAUGGUGUCAUGCCAGUGACGAUGGAGAUCAUGACGGUACUUUUGAGAUGGAGAUUAAAGGCACAAGAUGAUGAUGGCCAUAUCAUGUCACAUAUUUUGAUUGCAUGUGAUGUUUAUAUUUUAUGCAUCUUAUUUUGCUUAGUACGACAGUAGCAUUAUGAGAUGAUCCCUUACUAAAAUUUCAAGGUAUAGGUGUUCUCCCUGAGUAUGCACCGUUGCGACAGUUCUUCAUGCUGAGACACCACGUGAUGAUCGGGUGUGAUAAGCUCUACGUUCACAUACAACGGGUGCAGGCCAGUUUUGCACAUGCAGAAUACUCGGGUUAAACUUGACAGCCUAGCAUAUGCAGAUAUGGCCUCGGAACACUGAGACCGAAAGGUCGAACAUGAAUCAUAUAGUAGAUAUGAUCAACAUAGUGAUGUUCACCAUUGAAAGCUACUCCAUCUCACAUGAUGAUCGUACAUCGUUUAGUUGAUAUGGAUCACGUGAUCAUUUAGAUGACUAGAGGGAUGUCUAUCUAAGUGGGAGUUCUUCAGUAAUAUGAUUAAUUGAACUUAAAUUUAUCAUGAACUUAGUCCUGAUAGUAUUUGCAUAUCUAUGUUGUAGAUCAAUUGCUCGCGUAUAGCUUCCCCGUUUUAUUUAUGACAUGUUCCUAGAGAAAACUAAGUUGAAAGUUGAUAGUAGCAAUGAUGCAGACUAGGUCCGUGAUCUGAGGAUUAUCCUCAUUGCUGCACAAAAGAAUUAUGUCCUUGAUGCACCGCUAGGUGACAGAACUAUUGCAGGAGCAAAUGUAGACGUUAUGAACGUUUGACAAGCUCGGUAUGAUGACUGCUUGAUAGUUUAGUGCACCAUGCUUUACGGCUUAUAUAACAUCCCAAAUUUUCAAUUUGGAAUGUUAUACACUAGAUCAUCAUUGCAUAUCAUAUUUAUUGCAUUUUGGUUGAUCCUAGAAAUUUUUCGCAACUCAAGGACCCUCGGAGAGAGUUGGGGAUUUCGUUAUUUUCAUAUUUGAGUUGUCUCAAAUUUUGAAAAUAGGAUCAUUUGAUUUUAUUUAUUUUAUCUUCAAUUAUUUCUAUUACAAAAAAUUAUGAGAGAGGGAAUAAAAUGACUUUCCCAAAAUAAAGAAAUAUUGAGGAUUUAAUAAAAAAAUCAUUUAAGAUUUUAUUUGGUUUUAUUUGCUAUUUUAUUUGAAUUUAGGAAAAUGCGCGUUUUUUAGAAUUGCAUUUAGGCCCCAAAUAAAUGUGCAUCCUGUGCGGCUUGAUUUUAGAAGCCGGGGAAAUUUUAUUUCGGAAUUUUUGGAGUCCGUUUAGUAGUCCUUUUCUUUUUUUUUCGAGCGUAAAUAUAUAAAAAUAAAAUAAUAAUAAAAACGUCCGAACCGACCUACGGGCCAUGCUAGGUCCGGACUCCUCCGGCCUCAGCCCUUAUAAACCGCCGACCCACCCCGGGCCGAAACCCUAGCCGCCGCCCGCCUCGAGCCCCGCGCCCGCGCCGCCGCCGCCCCGCCGGACCCCACCGCUGCCCCUCGCCGCCUUGCUGGAGCCGCCGCCGCCCGUCUCGCCGCCGAGUCACCGAGGUUGACCCGCCGGUUUUCAUUCGGUUUUUUGUUUCUGUUUUUUCUUUAGAUCUGUUUUUUUCUCGGUUUAGGCUAAUUAGCGAGCGUUCGCUCGUUCGUUCAUUUUAACGAACGCGUUCUUCGUUUAGAUCCAGUUAACGAACGUUCAUUCGUUAAAUUGUUCGUCAUUUUUCUUUUUCUCGGAUUAAAUCCGCGAUUUUUCAGAUCGCGAUUUCUGAUCCGAUUUUCGUUUUAGUCUAACUUUUCGCUCGUUUAUCGGAAUCAGGCGAUUCAAGCACCUGGAGUUUCGUCUCGAAACCCUCUUUCCGUUUAGCCAACCUAAACAAGUUUUUGCCACCGUAAAAAUUUCCUUAGAUCCAGAAUAGUAAACGAAGCCUUUUUUUGCCGUUUGUCUUCCGUUGCUUCGUUCGAUUUGAUUCUUUUUGCCAACCGGAGUUCUUAAGUUGAACUUUCUGGUUAGAUCUCUUAUUUGAGUUUUACCUGUGCAUUAGUUGAGUACUUAUUGUAUACUUGUUUGUUUGCGAUAGAGUACCCGGAGUGCGCCGCUUGCUACUUCGAAUCGCUAGGUUUCCCGGACCAUCAGCAAGGCAAGUAACACUUUGAUCAUGUUUUUCCCUCUACCCAGUUUUAUUGCAUUAGAUCAAUCCUUACACAUUGCAUGAUUAGGAUCUAAUUAAAUUGUGGGUUUGGGAAGUAGUUGAGGUAGUACCUAUUACCUGUUAUUAUCAAACUUUUGGGAGUUACUUCUACGUUUGCUUAUUAUGCCAUGCUAUGCUAGUAGACGUGGAUUGGGUGAGUGUAUCCAUGACAGAUGUGAGAUUGUUAAUUAAUGGUUUAUCUAAGGUGGCAACUUAAAUACACAUCUGGGUGGAUUGAGGCAUCUGGGUAUUCCAGCGAUUGCCUGUUUUUCUUUAUGGACCACCACCCAGGCUCAAAGGGAUCGUGAGAUUAUUCAUGCUAGAAACUUCCGUGUGCAGCCACAAGCUAUUAUGGGCUCUAGCAUAGUUGAAUAAGUUGUGUGAACUCUUACAGUGGUAGACUAGCAGAUGUAGGGGAUGUAGGUUGGUACGGUCUACCCGUUCGUAAGGUGCAAGCGCUUCUGAAAGACUAUGUCUCGGUCAUCCAUUUCUCAAACACCUUGUAGUGCGAGAAAUCCAACGGAGGAGAUCGAGUCUUGUGGGGAAAAGUGCGCAAACCUCUGCAGAGUAUAUAAACUAAUCAUGAUUAGCCGUGUCCCCGAUUAUGGACAUCUUGAGUAUCUAGUACCUGGAUUAUCAUGUGAAUCUCAACAUGUUACUCUAAAUUAAUUUUGGAUGGGUUUGUUUAAUGAUGAUGCUUAAUUGGGAUUGAGAAUGCUGUCAACCAUUCUCAAUGUUUAACAACCACCAUGAUAGUUAAAUAAAUUUAUUCCUUUGCAGUAGGAAAAAUUGGCUUUACGCAAAACUGUAACCAUAAGGCUUUCCACCAGCCAAAUAUGCAUAUAGAAUAGCUGUUUCAUUCCAUUACUCUCUAUGUGUUACUUUGCCAGCAUAUUCCAUGUGCUGACCCAUUUCGGGCUGCAACGUUAAUGUUGCAGACUUUUCAGACGACGAUUAAGGAGUUUUAGGUUGUGGUCCUAUACUUAGUGAUGCCGUUGGAGUUGAUGGACUCACUUAUCUUCCAAUCCUUCCGCUGUUAUCGUUAUUAGAUGGCCUUACGCCAUAUUUAUUGUAAUAAGUUCUCUUUUGAGACACUCGAUGUAAUAAGUGUGUGAGUGCUACUCUGUUAUAAAUCCUUCAAGUACUGUGUGGUGUCAGCAUUACUGAUCCAGGGAUGACACCUGAACACAGAGAUUGGACCGUUUGAGGUCUGGUCGCAACAGCUUACAACCGGGACUUCAAAAAAAAUUGAAACGCCAUGGAGCAUAUAAGAUGUUCCAAGAGUUGAAAUUGGUAUUUCAGAUUCAUGCCCGAGUCGAGAGGUAUGAGACCUCUGACAUGUAUUUUUGCCUACAAGAUGGAGGAGAAUAGCUCGACUAGUGAGCAUGUGCUUAGAAUGUCUGAGUACUAUAAUAGCUUGAAUCAAGUGGGAGUUAAUCUUCUAGAUAAGAUAGUGAUUGACAGAGUUCUCUAGUCACUAUCACCAAAGUUACUGGAACUUCAUGAUGAACUAUAAUAUGCAAGGGAUGACGAAAACGAUUCCCGAGCUCUUCGCGAUGCUGAAAUCGGCGAAGGUAGAAAUCAAGAAAAGCAUCAAGUGUUGAUGGUUGACAAGACCACUAGUUUCAAGUAAAAGGGUGAGGGAAAGAAAGUGAACUUCAAGAAGAAUGACAAGCAACUUGCCACUCCCAUGAAGAAGCCCAAAGCCAGACCCAAGCCUGAAACUGAGUGCUUCUACUGCAAAGGAAAUGGUCACUAGAAGCGGAACUACCCCAAAUACUUGGCGGAUAAUAAGGAUGGCAAAAGUGAACAAAAGUAUAUAUGAUAUACAUGUUAUUUAUGUGUACUUUACUAGUGUUCAUAGUAGCCCCUGGGUACUUGACACUGGUUCAGUUACUAUGAUUAGUAACUCGAAACAGGAGUUACAAAAUGAACAAAGACUAGUUGAGGGCGAGGUGACGAUGUGUGUUGGAAAUGAUUCCAAGGUUGAUAAGAUCACCAUCGCAUACUCCCUCUACCUUCGGGAUUAGUAUUGGAACUAAAUAAAUGUUAUUUGGUGUUUGCCUUGAGCAUAAAUAUGAUUGGAUCAUGUUUAUUGCGAUACGGUUAUUCAUUUAUGUCAGAGAAUAAUUAUUGUUCUAUUUACAUGAAUAGAACCUUCUAUGGUCUUACAUCCAGUGAAAAUGGUUUACUGAAUCUCGAUCACAGUGAUACACAUAAUAUUGAUGCCAAAAGAUGCAAAGUUAAUAAUGAUAGUGCAACUUAUUUGUGGUACUGCUGUUUAGGUCAUAUUGGUGUAAAGUGCAUGAAGAAACUCCAUGCUGAUGGGUGAUACGUCUCUGUCGUAUCUACUUUUCCAAACACUUUUGCCCUUAUUUUGUACUCUAACUUGUAUGAUUUGAAAGGAACUAACCCGGACUGACGUUGUUUUCAGCAGAAUUACCAUGAUGUUGUUUUAUGUGCAGAAAACAAAUAUUCUCGGAAUGACCUGAAACUCCACGGGAGGUCUUAGAAAAAAUAAUAAAAAAUCCUCGCCAAAUAUGAAGACCAGGGGGCCCACACCCUUCUCACGAGGGUGGGGCACGCCCCCUACCUCGUGGGCCCCCUGUUGACCCUCCGACGCCAACUCCAACUCUAUAUCUUUGCUUUCGGAGAGAAAAAAAUCAGAGAGAAGAAAUCAUCGCAUUUUACGAUACGAAGCCGCUGCAAAGCCCUAAAACCUCUCGGGAGGGCUGAUCUGGAGUUCGUUCGGGGCUCCGGAGAGGGGGAUUCCUCGCCGUCGUCAUCAUCAACCAUCCUCCAUCACCAAUUUCAUGAUGCUCACCGCCGUGCGUGAGUAAUUCCAUCGUAGGCUUGCUGGACGGUGAUGGGUUGGAUGAGAUUUAUCAUGUAAUCAAGUUAGUUUUGUUUAGGUUUGAUCCCUAGUAUCCAUUAUGUUCUGAGAUUGAUGUUGCUAUGACUUUGCUGUGCUUAAUGCUUGUCACUAGGGCCCGAGUGCCAUGAUUUCAGAUCUGAACCUAUUAUGUUUUCAUGAAUAUAUGUGAGUUCUUGCUCCUAUCUUGCAAGUCUAUAGUCACCUAUUAUGUGUUAUGAUCCGGCAACCCCGAAGUGACAAUAAUCGGGACCACUCGCGGUGAUGACCAUAGUUUGAGGAGUUCAUGUAUUCACUAUGUGCUAAUGCUUUGUUUCGGUUCUCUAUUAAAAGGAGGCCUUAAUAUCCCUUAGUUUCCAAUAGGACCCCGCUGCCACGGGAGGGUAGGACAAAAGAUGUCAUGCAAGUUCUCUUCCAUAAGCACGUAUGACUAUAUACGGAAUACAUGCCUACAUUACAUUGAUGAAUUGGAGCUAGUUCUGUGUCACCCUAUGUUAUGACUGUUACAUGAUGAACCACAUCUGGCAUAAUUAUCCAUCACUGAUCCGGUGCCUACGAGUUUUCCAUAUACUGGUUUACGCUUAUUUACUUUUCUGUAGCUACUGUUACAAUCACUACAAAAUACCAAAAACAUUACGUUUUCUAUCUUUACUUUUGUUGCCGCUACCACCACUAUCAUAUUACUUUGCUACUAAACACUUUGCUGCAGAUACUAAGUUUCCAGGUGUGGUUGAAUUGACAACUCAGCUGCUAAUACUUGAGAAUAUUCUUUGGCUCCCCUUGUGUCGAAUCAAUAAAUUUGGGUUGAAUACUCUACCCUUGAAAGCUGUUGCGAUCCCCUAUACUUGUGGGUUAUCAAUGGGCUUUUGGAAUCACUUGAUGCUUGUGAAUCAUCCCUCAUGGGCAACAUGACUAGAACUCCGUUCUCCGGAACAAUGGAGCGAGCCACUGACUUAUUAGAAAUAAUACAUACUAAUGUAUGAUGUCCGAUGAGUGUUGAGGCUCGCGGCGGGUAUCGUUAUUUUCUGACCUUCAUAGAUGAUUUAAGCAGAUAUGGGUAUAUCUACUUAAUGAAACACAAGUCUGAAACAUUUGAAAAGUUAAAAAAAAUCAGAGUGAAGCUGAGAAUCAUCGUAACAAGAAAAUAAAGUUUCUACGAUCUGAUCGCGGAAACAAAUAUUUGAGUUACGAGUUUGGCCAUCAUUUAAAACAAUGUGGAAUAGUUUCACAACUCAUGCCACCUCGAACACCACAGAGUAAUGGUGUGUCUGAAUGUCGUAACCGUACUUUAUUAGAUAUGGUGUGAUCUAUGAUGUCUCUUAACGAUUUACCACUAUCAUUUUGGGGUUAUGCAUUAGAGACAGCUGCAUUCAUGUUAAAUAGGGCACCGUCUAAAUCCGUUGAGACGACACCGUAUGAACUAUGGUUUGCCAAGAAACCUAAGUUGUCGUUUCUUAAAGUUUGGGAUUGUGAUGCUUAUGUAAAAAAACUUCAACUUGAUAAGCUCGAACCCAAAUUGGAGAAAUGCGUCUUCAUAGGAUACCCAAAGGAAACUGUUGGGUACACCUUCUAUCAUAGAUUCGAAGGCAAGAUAUUCAUUGCUAAUAAUGGAUCCUUUCCGGAGAAGGAGUUUCUCUCGAAAGAAGUAAGUGGGUGGAAAGUAGAACUUGAUGAGGUAAUUGUACCUGCUCCCGAAUUGGAAAGUAGUUCAUCACAGAAACCAGUUCCAGUUAUUCCUACACCAAUUAGUGAGGAAGCUAAUGAUGAUGAUCAUGAAACUUCAGAUCAAGUUACUACUGAACCUCAUAGGUCAACCAGAGUAUGGUCCGCACCAGAGUGGUACAGUAAUCCUUUCUAGAAGUCAUGUUACUAGACCAUGACGAACCUACGAACUAUGAGGAAGCAAUGAUGAGCCCAGAUUCCGCGAAAUGGCUUAAGGCCAUGAAAUCUGAGAUGGGAUCCAUGUAUGAGAAUGAAGUAUGGACUUUGAUUGACUUGCCCGAUGAUCGGCGAGCCAUUGAGAUUAAAUGGAUCUUCAAGAGGAAGACCGACGCUGAUAGUAGUGUUACUAUCUACAAAGCUCGAAUUGUCGCGAAAGGUUUUCGACAAGUUCAAGGUGUUGACUACGAUGAGAGUUUCUCACUCGUAUCUAUGUUUAAAGUCUGUCCGAAUCAUGUUAGCAAUUGCCACAUUUUAUGAAAUUUGGCAAAUGGAUGUCUGAUACAUCUCCAACGUAUCUAUAAUUUUUGAUUGUUCCAUGCUAUUAUAUUAUCUGUUUUGGAUGUUUAAUGGGCUUUACUAAGCACUUUUAUAUUAUUUUUGGGACUAACCUACUAACCAAAGGCCCAGUGCAAAUUGCUGUUUUUUGCCUAUUUCAGUGUUUUGCUGCAAAGGAAUAUGAAACGGAAUCCAAACGGAAUGAAACCUUCGUGAGAGUUAUUUUUGGAACAAACGUGAUCGAGGGGACUUGGGGUGGGCGUCAAGAAAGAAGCGAGAAGGCCACGAGGCAGGAGGGCGCGCUUGCCCCCUAGGCGCGCCCCACCCUCGUGGGCCCCUCAUAGCUCCACCGACCUAGUUCUUCCUCCUAUAUAUAUAUCCAUAUACCCUGAAAACAUCCAGGAGCACCACGAAACCCUAUUUCCACCGCCGCAACCUUCUGUACCCGUGAGAUCCCAUCUUGGGGCCUUUUCCGGAGCUCCGCCGGAGGGGGAAUUGAUCACGGAGGGCUUCUACAUCAACACCAUAGCCUCUUCGAUGAUGUGUGAGUAGUUUACCACAGACCUUCGGGUCCAUAGUUAUUAGCCAGAUGGCGUCUUCUCUCUCUCUUUGGAUCUCAAUACAAAGUUCUCCUCGAUUCUCUUGGAGAUCUAUUCGAUGUAAUUCUUUUUGUGGUGUGUUUGUCGAGAUCUGAUGAAUUGUGGGUUUAUGAUCAAGAUUAUCUAUGAACAAUAUUUGGUUCUUCUUUGAAUUCUUAUAUGUAUGAUUUAAUUAUCUUUGCAAGUCUCUUCGAAUUAUCAGUUUGGUUUGGCCUACUAGAUUGAUCUUUCUUGCAAUGGGAGAAGUGCUUAGCUUUGGGUUCAAUUUUGCGGUGUUCUUCCCCUGUGACAGCAGGGGCAGCAAGGCACGUAUUGUAUUGUGGCCAUCGGGGAUAAAAAGAUGGGGUUUAUAUCAUAUUGCUUGAGUUUAUCCCUCUACAUCAUGUCAUCUUGCCUAAUGCGUUACUCUGUUCUUAUGAACUUAAUACUCUAGAUGCAUGCUGGAUAGCGGUCGAUGUGUGGAGUAAUAGUAGUAGAUGAAGAAUCAUUUCAGUCUACUUGUGACAGACGUGAUGCCUAUAUACAUGAUCAUGCCUAGAUAUUCUCAUAACUAUGCACUUUUCUAUUAAUUGCUCGACAAUAAUUCAUUCACCCACCGUAAAUUAUGCUAUCUUGAGAGAAGCCACUAGUGAAACCUAUGGCCCCCGGGUCUAUCUUCCAUCAUAUUACUUUCCUAUGAAUUUACUAUUUCCGCUAUCUUUUAUUUUGCAAUCUUUAUUUUCCAUUCUACUCCCUCCAUUCCUUUAUGUAAGGUGUAUUAUUUUCGGCACGGUGACCAAGGCACAAAAUUGUAGACAUGUUAAGACCAAAUUACCCUUGGCAAAUUUGUUGGUUAGUGGCAAGUAAAUUAUUUAGUCUAGGAAAGUAAGAGAUACAUGCAAUCGACAAAGAGAUACUUUCCUUCUUUUGCUACAAGGAGAGAUACAGACAAUCAGGAAAUAGAUACUUUCCUUUUUUCUAGAGGGCUAGCAAGGGAAUUAUAAGGAAUUACAAGAAAUGUACCUUACAUUGUGAAAUUUUAUCAAAACACAAAUACACCAUAUAUAAAGGAAUGGAGGGAGUAUAUCAUAAAAAACCAAAAAUAUUUAUCUUAUUAUCUCUAUCAGAUCUCACUUUUUCAAGUGGUCGUGAAGGGAUGGACAACCCCUUUAUCGCGUUGGUUGCAAGGUUCUUAUUUGUUUGUGUAGGUACGAGGCGACUUGUGUGUGGUCUCUUACUGGAUUGAUACCUUGGUUCUCAAAAACUGAGGGAAAUACUUACGCUGCUUUGCUGCAUCACCCUUUCCUCUUCAAGGGAAAACCAACACAUGCUCAAGAGGUAGCAAUGUCAAAACUACAUUCCUUAAUGGAUCUCUUAAAGAAGAGUUGUAUAUGAUGCAACCAGAAGGUUUUGUCAAUCCAAAAGGUGCUAACAAAGUGUGUAAGCUCCAGUGAUCCAUUUAUGGACUGGUGCAAACAACUCGGAGUUGGAAUGUACGCUUUGAUAGUGUGAUCAAAGCAUAUGGGUUUAUACAGACUUUUGGAAAAGCCUGUAUUUACAAGAAAGUGAGUGGGAGCUCUAUAGCAUUUCUGAUAUUAUAUGUGGAUGACAUAUUGUUGAUUGGAAAUAAUACAGAAUUUGUAGAUAGCAUAAAAGGAUACUUGAAUCAGAAUUGUUCAAUAAAAGACCUCAGUGAAGCUACUUACAUAUUGGGCAUCAAGAUCCAUAAAGAUAGAUCAAGACACUUGAUAAGACUUUCGAUGAGUACAUACCUUGAUAAGAUUUUGAAGGAGUUCUAAAUGGAUCAGUCAAAGAAGGAGUUCUUGCCUGAGUUGUAAGGUGUAAAGUCGAGUAAAGACUCAAAACCCAACCACAACAGAAAAUAGAAAGAGGAUGAAAGUCAUUCCCUAUGCCUCAAUCAUAGGUUCUAUAAAGUAUGAUAUGCUGUAUACCAGACCUAUUGUUUACCUCACCAUGAGCUUGGCAAGAGGGUACAAUAGUGAUCCAGGAGUGGAUCACUGGAUAGCAGUCAAAACUAUCCCGAGUGGAAUAAGGAUAUGUUUCUCGGUUAUGGUGGUGACAAAGAGUUCGUCGUAAAGAGUUAUGUCGAUGCAAGCUUUAAACCGAUCUGGUUGACUCUGAGUCUCAAUCUGGAUACAUAUUAAAAGUGGGAGCAAUUAGCUAGAGUAGCUCCAUGCAGAGCAUUGUAGACAUAGAAAUUUGUAAAAUACAUACAGAUCUGAAUGUGGCAGACCCGUUGACUAAACUUCUCUCACAAGAAAAACAUGAUCACAUCUUAGUACUCUUUGGGUGUUAAUCACAUGGAGAUGUGAACUAGAUUAUUGACUCUAGUGCAAGUGGGAGACUGAAGAAAAUAUGCCCUAGAGGCAAUAAUAAAGUUGUUAUUUAUAUUUCCUUAUAUCAUGAUAAAUGUUUUUUAUUCAUGAUAGAAUAGUAUUAACCGGAAACUUAGUACAUGUGUGAAUACAUAGACAAACAGAGUGUCCCUAGUAUGCCUUUACUAGACUAGCUCAUUAAUCAAAGAUGGUUAAGUUACCUGACCAUAGACAUGUGUUGUCAUUUGAUGAACGGGAUCACAUCAUUAGAGAAUGAUGUGAUGGACAAGACCCAUCCGUUAGCUUAGCACUAUGAUUGUUUCGUUUAUUUGUAUUGCUUUCUUCAUGACUUAUACAUGUUCCUAUGACUAUGAGAUUAUGCAACCCCCGAAUACCGGAGGAACACUUAGUGUGCUAUCAAAUGUCACAACAUAACUGUGUGAUUAUAAAUAUGCUCUAGAGGUGUCCCCGACGGUGUUUGUUGAGUUGGCAUAGAUCGAGAUUAGGAUUUGUCACUCCGUGUAUCAGAGAGGUAUCUAGGCCCUCUUGGUAAUGCACAUCACUAUGAGCCUUGCAAGCAAUGUGUAUAAUGAGUUAAUCACGGGAUAAUGCAUUACGGAACGAGUAAAGAGACUUGCCGGUAACGAGAUUGAACUAGGUAUAAUGAUACCGAUGAUCGAAUCUCCGGCAAGUAACAUACCGAUGACAAAGGGAACAACGUAUGUUGUUAUGCAGUUUGACCGAUAAAGAUCUUCGUAGAAUAUGUAGGAGCCAAUAUGAGCAUCCAGGUUCUGCUAUUGGUUAUUGACCGGAGAUGUGUCUCGGUCAUGUCUACAUAGUUCUCGAACCCGUAGGGUCCGCACGCUUAACAUUCGAUGACGAUUUGUAUUGUGAGUUAUGUGAUUUGAUGAUCGAAGUUUGUUCGGAGUCCCAGAUGAGAUCACGGACAUGACGAGGAGUCUCGAAAUGGUCAAGACAUAAAGAUUCAUAUACUGAAAGGUUACAUUCGGACACCGGAAUGGUUCGGGUCGNNNNNNNNNNNNNNNNNNNNNNNNNNNNNNNNNNNNNNNNNNNNNNNNNNNNNNNNNNNNNNNNNNNNNNNNNNNNNNNNNNNNNNNNNNNNNNNNNNNNNNNNNNNNNNNNNNNNNNNNNNNNNNNNNNNNNNNNNNNNNNNNNNNNNNNNNNNNNNNNNNNNNNNNNNNNNNNNNNNNNNNNNNNNNNNNNNNNNNNNNNNNNNNNNNNNNNNNNNNNNNNNNNNNNNNNNNNNNNNNNNNNNNNNNNNNNNNNNNNNNNNNNNNNNNNNNNNNNNNNNNNNNNNNNNNNNNNNNNNNNNNNNNNNNNNNNNNNNNNNNNNNNNNNNNNNNNNNNNNNNUCCUUCCCUCGUUCUCCUACUAGGAAUAAGAAAGAGGAGGGGAAUCCUACUUGGACUAGGGAGUCCUAGUAGGAUUCCCCACACCUUGCGCGCCCCCCUUGGGCCGGCCACCUCUUCCCUCCCCUCCUUUAUAUACGUGGCCAGGGAGCACCCCAUAGACACACAAGUUGAUCUUUUAGCCGUGUGCGGUGCCCCCUCCGCAGUUACACACCUCAGUCAUAUCGUCGUAAUGCUUAGGCGAAGCCCUGUGCCGGUAACUUCAUCAUCACCGUCGCCACGCCGUCGUGCUGACGUAACUCUCCCUCGACCCUCUGCUGGAUCAAGAGUUCGAGGGAUGUCAUCGAGCUGAACGUGUGCUGAACUUGGAGGUGUCGUACGUUCGGUACUUGAUCGGUUGGAUCGCGAAGACGUUCAACUACAUCAACCGCGUUAACAUAACGCUUCCGCUUUCGGUCUACGAGGGUACGUGGACACACUCUCCCUCUCUCAUUGCUAUGCAUCUCCUAGAUAGAUCUUGCGUGAUCGUAGGAUUUUUUUUGAAAUACUGCGUUCCCCGACACCACAUUCUUGCCGGUGUAGAGCAUGCCGCUCCACAUUGGAGGCGGCUUUGGGUAGACGCGACCUCUCACUGCCUCUGCCAUUGAAGCGGCACACCGCACGCUUUACGCCCGCCUGAACACGCCUCCUCACUGCAUUCAAACGCCUUCAUUAAACUCCCAUGGAAGCCAAGGAACCAACUCCAGCCACAUGUCCGUUCACGAACGGGCCAACAUUAAACACAAUGCCGACCAAGCUCCUUGCGUCCAUCCUCUAUUUAAAUGAGGCCAGAUGCAGGGAAAGAAUCGCAGCACUCCGCCGCUCCCCAUCUCCUCCUUCCACCAAUUUCUCCACUCUUUUGAUGGCAUCCGACGAGCCGGGAGAGCAGUUCUCCUGCAUAAAAGCCGGCUGGGUGGCUCAACGAGCCUUCUGGAUAUGAGCGAGGCAGCUCGCUGCUCCUCCUACCUCACCUAGCCCGACGGAGCCAAUUGGCACCCCAAGCCGGUGCGUGGUUCAAUAACUCACCACUCAAAGCCAGCUCGCAGAGGAGUGGCGAGUUGCUCCAUCUCGGCAUGGUGGGGAUCGCACGGCAACACGAGCAUCGCCGCCUCCAGUGCCUGCGACCGCGCCAUCCGCUGUCGACGCAUGCGUAGCCGCGCCAUGCACACAGGAAAAGAAGCCGGCUACGCGGAUGUUGAUGAGGUGGCGGCCAUCACGUUCGCGCCCGCCUCCAUCAUCGGGAGAAGUAGAACACGGGAGGCCGCCGCGGCUUGUAUUCCAUGGAGGCCACCGCUGGCGUGUCUCGGCUUGUACAGCGGGUGACCUGUAAGCACCCGUCUGGGCUCCACGGAAGCACCUUUCCCUCCAACUGAAGCACUCUCUUUGCCACUCCGAUGAGCGGCGUACCCGGGCAUAGGGAAGAUACGGGAGAAGAAUAUGCCUUCGGGACUCCGGGUAGUCCGGUUAGCGGGCUACUGGACAUAGGGAAGACAAACUGAUCCGCCGCGUUCGGCCAAAGACUAGUCUAGUGUAUCCGCGUCGUGGGAGUGGAACUCCACGCGACUGUACGUGCACUAGUUAUAUCUUGUUAGUUAAAAUAUGUCCAAAAUGUAACCAUUUUCAUCAGGUUUGUAUGAAAUCCGUCAUGUAUAUAUGAAAUCCGUCUGAGUUCGCAUGAAUUUUAUCCGGUUUGUUAAAAAGAGUUUGAAAUAUAUGCUGCCAGCGUUGGAUGACGGCCUCCUGUAUUUAUUUCAGUGGACUGGUUCCUCCAUCCACGGAUAAAAUUUGUGGGUUGCCGUUGAAAAUGCCCUUAUUUGCGCAUGCGCAAGGGACACAUGGCGUACGAGGUAUUAUGAUCGCCUGGGGACUAGACUAUUAGAGCAACUCCAAAGGGCCGACCCAUUUCGUCCGCCUGCGUCCGUUUGGGUCGGCACGGACAAAAGUGGCGGCCCAAUGCGCCGACGCAUUUGCGGCCCAAAUUUGCACCCCAAAUGCGUCGGCGCGGACGCCGAACGGACGCUUCGCGCGCCUUCUCGCAGCCGCCGCGUCACCACAUGGCGGUCGUCCAACUACUCGCUGCCCACGCGGUCAGCUUAAUUUAUGACGAUGGGCCCACGCGUCAGCGACAGCGCUCGUCCUUUUUUAAGCCGACCAUGCGGCGGGGCCAUCCUCAUCCAAACUCGCCGUCCACAUCUGCCCACCUUUGCUCCCUCGUCGCCGCAAACCCUAGCCACCACAACCACAGCGAGAUGGGCCUCUUCUCCGGCGCCAGCGGCAGCAAGGCCAAGGGCAAGUCCCCCGCCACCCCUUUCCCCUCAGAGUUCCUCCCACCUCCGCCGGCGCCGGUGCCUCGUCGGCAGAGGCAGCGCGUGAACGUGCCAGUGCACCAGGCAGAGUGGCACUGGCAGCACCGCCAGCCUUUGCCGUAUCCGGACGUGAUGCUGUCGCACGACUGGCAUCUGGAUCCAGAUAGGAUCCCAGUGCCGGCGGCGCCGCGGACGGCUCGUGUUCACGCGGAGGAGGUGCGGCGCCUGCGGGCGCUGCUGACGCCGGAGCAGCGCCACGACCAGGCCUACGCAACCGACUCGCCCAACUGGGCGAGGUGGUUCGCCUUCGAGCACGAGGAGGCGAGGCGAUGGGGCGUGCGCGAGGUCGACCGGAGGUCGCCGCCACCGGGGCUCGUCGUCCGCGAGGAGGACCAGGCGGCGGAGGAUGCCUACAAGGCGGCCCUUGCGGCCGUCUACCGGGAGAGUGAGGAGGACGAGCGGCGCAGAGCGAAGGCGGCGAAGGCGUUACGAGGAGGCUCGGUUCGAGGCGGCAAUGGCGCAGGCUCUUGCCCUCUCCGCGGCGGGCGACAGCGUGGUGCCGCCGUUGGCCCCGCCGUCCCCCAUCAAGCCGGAGCCCGAGCCCAAGCCCAUCGCACGCUUCUCCUAGAGGGGAGUGGUGCGUGAGUGGGUGUCCGCGCCACCGGUUUGGCUGGGGACGACGCCGGCGCAGGAGCAGGCGUACCUCGAGAUGUGGCGCCUGCGCCGGUUGGCAGAGGAGCGCCGUCGCGGCGAGUACGAGGAGAUGCUCGAACGCGACCUCGAGGAGGAGCAGCGCGAGGCCGAGGAGGAGGCGCGCCAGGCCGCGGCUGCACAGGCAGCCGCACACCCCCGCCCCGGCACUGCCUGCGCCGGCACAGCCCGACAUGACGGCGCUCUGGAACACGACGUUCGCCUGGGCCAGGCCGGCGCCGACACUCAUCGACCUCACGGACCCCGAGGACGACGACGCCGCCGCCUAGGGCAGCGCGCCGCCUCGUAGUUUAGGCUGUUUUUAUUUAUUUUUAAAUGUAAAUGUGGACGCGUGGACUUUCGCCGGCCUUCAUGGCCGGCUUUAAUGUUUAAUUAAUGUUGUUUUUUAAUAUACAUACAUUCAUUUUUUUUGGCGCCGUCAAAAUGGGUCUCAGGCCAGCGUUGGGCGCACGCGCCAACCCAAAUGCGAAAGCGGGCAUCCUGUUCGUCUGGCCGAGCCAAACGAAGAAAAGCGGAUGAAAUCGCCGUCCAUUUGGAUCGGCCUGUUGGAGUCGCUCUUAAGCAGUAAAGAAAAGAUCACGGUCUCUGUCUCAUCUGUCACUCUGUCACUCUGUCACAUGUAUGCAUGCAUGUGCAUGUUCACACAGCUAGUCAGGUUAGGUAGGAAGUACUUCGCACCUGGAGAUGACAGCGGUUGGUACUUGCCAGUAGUUUGGAUUAUCCUUGAGCCGAUUCAAGUAUACGCGGACGACAAAUAUCCUGCUCUGAUGAUCGACAAGGCAAAUAUUCCGCUUUCUGCAUGCGACAAAAAGCUAGAGAAGUAGCGAGUGAAUAGUCACAUCACCUUCGGAAUUACUCGCUAAAGAAUAAUGAUAAAGGAGGCCAGCUGUCGAUCAGUAAUUCGACCCAGGAAGAACUUAUCCCUGUGCGCCCACAAUUUUUGGACUAUUAAAAUGUUGCAAAAUAAUUGUAAAAAAAAUUCAAAACAAACAUCAACCUGAAUACAUAGCUCAAGAAAUAAAAAUAAUAAUCAAUGUUGAUAGCCAUGUUAAUGAGCCGAAUUUGAACUAGCUACUUUAUUUUUUUGCGAGUAUAGCUAGGUUUGUCCUUUUUGUUUCUUGAGUUGUAUUUGAGUUUGGAUUGGAUUUUUUCUGACGAGCGAUAUUAUUUCAUUUAUGUAUUUGUACUAUAUUUGAAUUUCAAGACUUCUACGCUAAGGUUUCUGGAUUAGAGAAUACUGGCAAUACCUCACACAUGACUUUUAUGGUGAGAUUUUGCCUUUGAAGCUAUCGGUAUUUAUUUCGGAAAGAGUGUCGAUCAGUGAUAGGCACCUAGGAGUAUAGAAGUACCAAAUAGUGUAUGAUAUUUCAAUGGUAUAAGCUGGGUGGCAACUGUUUUUGCUAUUUCCAGGUCACCGUUGAGAACUGUUCAAUUAUACUAUAUAUACAAGUGUAGUUGGGAUGACACAAUAUUGAUCAUAUGGCUAGGAGCGGUUGAAAGAGAAAUAAUUAUUCUAAGUUGAGCAAACCACAUCAUUCCCUAAAAUAAUUGUUUAUCUAAAGCAAAAACUAAGUAUCACACUCUUUCUAAACUAUUUUUUUAUGUUUUUAAAAUAUAUGACAUUUUGGACAUUGCCGCAGUUUCCAAGGGGUAACUCUACAGUUAUGUUUACACGAAUGUGCCACUACAAUUUGUAAAAUUACAGAGUCAUGGAACCUGAUUUUUUUUGUUUAUUUGACGAAACUCGAUUUGAUGUUGAUAAUUAAAGUUUGAAAGUGUUGAUCCCAUCUGUUUUCUCAAAGUAAUCUAAUUUACAACAGAGGGACAGUUGUCUAGCUAUCUAGUAACUACUAGUAAUCCUUCACUGAACUAGGGAUUUAUUUAAUAAUUCCAAGAUGAGGUUCACUGUGUCAGUAUAUUCUGAACUAGCUUAUUAAUGGUUGUUUCCUUAUGGAAGUAACGGGAAGUUAGUGUUAACUGUUAUCUGACUCGGGACGGGAAGAAAUGAUCAAUUAGUUUGUUAAGUUGUGUGUACUGCUGUGUGUGGUAGAAUUAGUUUUCCAGUUCAAUAAGGUUCUCAAUAUCGUUUGCUUAGAGGAAUGGCUGGAAAUGAGCUCGACUUUAAAUUAAUAAAGCGAUAAUCGGCGACGUGUAUCACGUAGCAUGCUAGGGUUGCCAGCUAUCAUACAAGUGCUCUUUUUCUCCUCUCGCAAAGUUACAAAAGUAGGGAAGUCGAUACAAAUAGUGCAAUGCCAGUACCAAAGUAUAGCAUCACGAGAAUGAGACCAUUCAAACAGACUACAUGCAUAUAUACAAUUUCAAUUCAAGCACAGUGCAAAAAAUAGUAAAACUUGCAAAUGUAGUAUAUAGUAAUAAUGGAAAAUAGCAAAUCUUUUAUUUAGUCGGAGAUAGCGGUACAUCAUGAGCACUCUGGCAAUAACCAACUCAUCACAAACAUGUGACGAUUACGACAACACAUCAUGCACACACACACAACGAAAUCCUUACGCACGCAGGUAACAGUGCGUGCUUGUACGUACGUAGAACCUGGAGAAGUAGUACGUAGUUUCUCCGCAAUCGAAAUCCAGCCACACAUAAAAACCAGCAGAUGAUUAAGAAAUUAAAGCACACAACAAGUACGUAGUGGUACUUCAAAUAGCCAGUCAUGCAUGCAUGCGUGCGUGCAUGAGGUAUGGCGGAUGCAGGGUCCGGCCGGCUCAGUUGGGGCACUGGAAGCCGGAGGGGACGUUCUUGCCGCAGUUGUUGAGGACGAGGCUGAGGGCGAUGGGCAAGGUCAGGUUGAUGCCCAGAAGGUUGAGGUUCAGCGUCGUGCAGAGGCACAGCGCCGCCUCGAGGUCCGCCAGCCCCUGGAUCAGCGAGCAGCACGGCUGCACCGGCGGGCUCCCCAGGGUAAGGUUCAGCAGCCCGAGCACGUUCGCGCACACCCCCAGCUUCAGCGCGUCCAGAGGGCACUGGGUGCUGUUUCCGCCCCCACCGUUGCCGCCGCCACCAUUGCCACCGCCACCGUUUCCGCCGCCACCAUUCCCACCGCCACCGUUUCCGCCGCCACCGUUCCCNNNN
rnacentral:lncRNA from 1 species